rnacentral:lncRNA from 1 species
CCGCCACCACGCGCUUCCCAACCAUCGCGCCGCGCGCCGCCAUCCACACCGCCGCGCGCCGCCCGCAAUCCCCGCCUCCAUGACUCCUCCUUUGUCAUCCCGUUCUGCGGCAGCAAAUUUCGGCGGCCAUCCCGUUGAACAGCUUGGAUCUAGGGCGUCGGCGAGCAACUGCAGGUGCAGGGGGGACGAGAGGGACGAAGACGUGGCAAAGGAGCUCCAGCUCGAUCUUCUCGGCUGCCGGCGGAGGAGCGGAGCCCCCCGCGCGCAGGUCUGGCCUGAUUCUUCUCGUCCGCCGUCGUGCGUUCAGAGGCCUCCCGCGCUCGAGCUCCUACAGGUGACAGGCAUCUCGUUCUUGCUGAUUGUUGUUGCCGCCACUGAGCUUCUCUGAUUCACCACUAUUCUUUGCAAUUCGCCCAUGCCUCUGUUUCUCUGGACCAUAAUAAAGAGAGAAAUUCAUCCUAGCUGAGAGACAGAGUUGAGGUUCAACGUGUAUAUUAAAUAAAAGAAGAUUGUAGUGAUUACGAGUAUGUGGCUGCCUAUAGUUCUUGUGUUUAAUGCAAACAAUCCCCUUUCCUUCCCUGUAGCAGUGGACACGAGCAGGCAAGGUGCUUCUCCUAUCGCGUCUGCUGGCAGAAGUGGAAAUCUAGCCGGCGUGCAGGUUCUUGUGCAGGUGGGUGUGCUAGUGUAGUUUUUCAGUUGACGAUCUAGCUAGCGCACUUUUUUCAGGUUGGCAUUGUUCAGUUUGAAAAGGUACAACAGUUCACUUAGUGAAUACGCCACCAAUUAACUUUGGAAAAGUACGCUGCUGAGCACUUCUCCAUCUAGAUUUGUUCUUGUUUAUGCCCCUCGAAGUAGAUGAUUCCUCGCACCUGAACUGUCGAAAGUCUAUACUGCAUUUUUUUGUAACUUCAGUGUAGUGAGCAGAUGGGGGCACCAGCAACGAACCAGCGGCGACCGGGCCUUCUCUCAUCCAUGAGCUGGCCCCACUCAACCUCUGUCUCCAGGACGAAGACGAUGUCCACGGCGCUGCCCAGCGGGAAGGGCAACAAAAAAGUUAAAAAAAAAUUGCUAGUGCAGCUGAUUGCCUCCUCUGUGUUGUGAUGUACUUCCUCUGUAAACAAAUGUAAGAGCGUUUAGAUCACUAAAAUAGUAAUAUAAACACUCUUAUAUUAGUUUACGGAGGGAGUACUAUGUUGUGUAGAUUUUUUUUGAAUUCAUGUUGUGAACCCAACUAAGGUUGAGCACAAAAGUUUAGAUGGCGGCUGGUUUGAAUUUUCUCCUAUAGCAGAAAUCUCGCUUCCCUCCUAUUGUACUAUAUCCACUUGUGUGUUGUUUGUCAAUGCUUUUUGUCUGAAGUUUAGUAGUACCUGUGGGUGCAAAAAAAUUGGUGUUGUGAUACAUAGGUUCAGUUUCUUAGGUCAUUCAAAAGAAAAUGAAAAAAAAAUGUAUUUUCGUCUCCAAAAAGCAUCAAUGAUGUGGAGUGCUUAUCUUCUUGUGUACUUCUAUCGAUGCUUGUGUUUCAUGGAGAGAGAGAGAGAGAGAAAGAAAGAGAGAGAUAAUCAUUCAUGUUUCCAUUCUUUCUAUGUACUUCAGAGACAUUUUAUGACAGAGAAAAAAGGUUAAUGACACAUUCUUUUGAGAGAUACAUAGUGGUUCGGGCUUCAAUGCUUUUUUACACGAAAGUUCAUGUUUCAGAAAUUUCUAAGUUCACGUGUACCACAUACUGAAGAAAUUCAUCAAUGAAAAAAGGGCCGCCUAGGACAUUUAACCGACAACAAAAAUGCCUGAAAAUGUUGUGAGACAAAAGACACUUCACAAGAUAUAACAUAGUAAGUUCGUAGAAAGUGGAAAACCCCUUAAUUUUGUUUUGUAAGUUUAACCAUUUCUAAAAACAAUACCUUGAAGUUCAAAUGUAAAUAAUAGGGCGGUUCAAUGUUUAUUACAAACCUAUGAUUUUCCCCGUUACUAUAGAAUAAACCAAGAAGUUCAAAAAAAAUGACGUAGUUCGAUUUUAAAAAAAAAGGUGUUUCUACAUUUUACUAAAAAAUGGAGAAGUUCAAAUUUAAAUAACAUAGAAGUUCAAAAUGAUUAUUUCAAAACCAAGAAGGUCAAACGAAAAAAACCGAGCAGUUUAAAAAGUUUGUAAACAUGGAUUUGCCCCCUGUUUUUUUAAGAUCCAGAAGUUCAAAUUUAAAGAAGUGAGCGGUUCGAUGUUUAUUACAUAAUUAGGACUUUUCCCUUUACUAAUAAAUAACACCAAGAAGUCCUAAUUGAAAAAUGAAGUUGUUUGAUGUUUAUAAAAAUCUUAGAUUUUUCCCGAUACUAAAGAUUAAAACCACGAAGUUCAAUUUUAAAAAACGGAGUAGUUCAAUGCAUAUUAAAUACUCAGUUUUUUCUCGUUACUAAAUAAUAAAUCCAAGAAGUUCAAUUUUUAAAAGCAGAGCAGUUUGAUAUUUAUUUGUAAACUUAGUUUUUUUCUGGUUACUAAAGAACAAGACCAAUAAGUUCUAUUCUAAAAUAACGAAGAAGUUCGAUGUUUGUAACAAAACUACAAUUUUCAAAUUUCUAGAAAAAAACACAAAAAAAGUUCAAAUAAAAAAUUUAGAGCGUUCGAUGUGUGUAAAAACUCAAAUUUUUUCCGUUACUAAAGUGAAGUAGAUAGAAGUUCAAAGCGAUAACAGCUAGAAGUUCACGUACUGCAUGGUGUGUGUUUCAUACGAAAAAAGAGAGUAAAAAGGCGAAGUCUAAAUUUUUUGUUGCUAGAAGUUCAAGUGCUCUUCCGUCGGAAGUUCAAACAUUCUUGAGAGAGAGAGGUUCACCGCGUAUUUCCAUGUUCGAAAACACAAAAAAGAAAUUGUUUUUUGUGUUUUAAAAUAAUUCUCUCAAUACACAAAGAAGUUCAGUUAUUAUUUGAUAGCAAUUUGAUUUCAAAAAAGAAAAUAAAAAAUUCAAAUUAUAAAAAUGGAAAAAGUUCAUGUACUACAUGGUGUGUGUUUAAUAUGGGAAAAAUGAAUAAAAAGGCAAAGUUUUCCUCGUUAUUAAAGAAUGGAAACAAGAAGUUCAGAAAUUAAAUAACAAAGAAGUUCAACUUUUAAUAAUAGAGCGCUUCAAAAUUUCAUAAAAAGAUUGAGAAAUAAAACCAGGAAGUCCAUAUUAAAAAGAUGGAGAAAUUCGAUGAUUAUAGAAAACUUAGAUUUUCCUUGUUAUUAAAGAAUGGAAACAAGAAGUUCAAAAAUUAAAUAACAAGACGUUCAACUUUUAAUAAUUGAGCGCUUCAAAAUUUCGUAAAAAAGAUUAAGAAAUAAAACCAGGAAGUCCAUAUUAAAAAGAUGGAGAGGUUCGAUGAUUAUAGAAAACUCAGAUUUUCCUCGUUAUUAAAGAAUGGAAAAAAGAAGUUCAAAAAUUAAAUAACAAGAAGUUCAACUUUCAAUAAUAGAGCGUUUCAAAAUUUCAUAAAAAGGGAUUAAGAAAUUCAGAUUAAUAUUCAUAAAAAACUCAGAUAUUUUCAUGUAACCGAGAGAAGUUCAGAUUGAUAACUGCCAGAAGUUCACGUACUACACGGUGUGCAUUUUGUAUUAAAAAAAGAAUAAAAAGCAAAGACUAAAUUUUUUAUUGUUAUAAGUUCAAGUACUCCGUCGGAGAAAGUUCAAAAAAUUAUUGUGAGAGUGGUUUGUACAAAAGGAAUAUCAUUUGUGUAACACUAACAAAUAGAUGAGAAAAUUAUAAAUAAAAAUACGUCACAGAAGUUCAACGUGAAAACAGCAGGAAGUUCAACUACUACAGUGAAUAAAUUUUAGAUGAAAAACUUCUAAAAUCGCCACGAGUAUGAAAAAAUGAUCAACACGGGAAAGUUGCGUGUUUACAGCAGCUUUCCACUUGUAUAUCACUUGCUCAAUUCCGGUGAGUGUUCCGGUGAGUGGAUGGAGAGCUACGAGAAAAAAAGCACGUGAGAAACAGAGUGAAGUUCAAGUAAACAUGCCGAGAAGUUCAAGUUCUUCAUGCGGUGCAUUUUUAAAGAAUCUAUUUCGUGAAAAAGGCAGAAGGAAUGAUCCUGCCGUUUUUGAAAUAACUUGAAAACGGCUAGGAAUCAGAGAAAACCAUCAAAAUGAAAAAGUUUCACAUUUUCCGUAGCUUUUCAACGGUAUAUUAUUUGCCCCAUUCCGAUAAAAGUUGUAAAAAUUACAGCAAAUAUACAUUUUUAGCCAUUUUAAAAAUUGACUUAAAACAGUAAUGAAUUGGGAGAAAUAAUAUAUACCAAAACGUUUCGCAUUUCCUCAAGCUUUCCAACGCCAUAUUAUUUGCUACAUUCGGACGUAAGGUUAAAAAAUUAGCUCGAAAAUACGAACUCGGUGGAACUUGUACCGUUUUCUAAAUUACUUUUAAACCGUUCAAAAUUAGAAAAAACUUUCAAUGAGAGAAAGUAGCGCAUUUUUAUAGGCUUUCCAACGCCAUAUCAUUUUCCUCAAUUGGAUUAGCCGUUUAGAAAUGACAUCGAAAAUACGAACUCGGCUGUUCAGUUUACGAAAUUUUUAUGAUUUUCCAAAUUACUCUUUAACCAUAAGGAAUUAGAGAUAACUUUCAACAUGUGGAAGGAGUGGUUUUAUAGCAGCUUUCCAACGCCAUAUUAUUUGCCUCAUUCCGAUAAACAGUUUAGAAAUGCGAUCGAAACUACGAUUCACGUUUUUUGUAUGAAGAAAAAACGGUUUUCAAAACUGCUCUUAAACCUCUUACAUUUUGCCAAAAAUUUAACUUGUGUAAUGAUAUUGGUGUCCAUAGCUUUCCAACGGUAUAUCGCAAGCCCCAUUUGAGCAAUGUUGGCGGAAGUUCAACCUAGCACUGGGAGAAGUUCAGGUCGAACAACUUAGGCAGUAAAAUUGCAAAAAAAAGCAAUUUCAUCACAACCCGAGAGCAAAAUCCGCCAAUGAGCGAUAUUCCUAUUUAAAACGGGUAUUUAGUUGCUAAAAACGUUUCUAGAUUACCCUAACAUCAUAUAUAACACAACUAAACAGAAUAAUUCGCGCGGGAAGACACGGUUGCGAAGAUAGCCCGAAGGUCGGGUUCGUACAGAGGGAAGUUCAGGCGCGUUACUCAGGCAGUUCAGGUUGUGAUCAGAAUAUUAUUCUGGUCCCGUGAUCAUAAUAGUGUUUAUGCAUAUUGUUGGGGAUAUUACCACUUGGCGUAAACCGGCCAGGAGAGGCCGGGUUAACCCCUUAAGUAGUUCAUCUGUAUCUGAAGUCCAUGAAGACAGACGGUGACGCUUUAUGAAGGCCCAGGGCCCAAAGCCGGUUUAAGGCCUGUAGACAUAAACCGGCAUUAAUAUGUAAACUUGUGUUGUAAGAUAGAAGUAGCAAAGACCGAGCCGGACCACGAUUAUGAGCCGGCCUCGGGAUUCUGUAAACCGACGGGCGUCAACCCAUGUAUAUAAGGGGACGACCCGGCAGAUGUUCAAGGACGAUAGACAACAACUCGAGACUCGGGCAAAGCGUAUUCGCUCCCUGGUCAUCGAAACCCCAGCAAUUCCAUCACAACUAGACGUAGGCUUUUACCUUCAUCGUAAGGGGCCGAACUAGUAUAAAAUUCUCUUGCGUCCCUUGUCCGCUUUAACCCCUUUAAGUUAACCCGUAGCGAUGGCUCCACGACUAAGUCCUUUCUCUAGGAUAUCUGCCGUGACAAAACCACGACAGUUGGCGCCCACUGUGGGGCUAUCGCACGAUGGUUUCAAGUUCUUGGAGGCCAACUUCGAAGGACUCAAGGGUUAUGCUGUGGGCCGGAUGACCAAGAGUCGUCGCGACAAGCUUUACAUCGACGAUGCAGGCUGGGGCCCCGAGGCCGGCUCAAUCGAGUACGGGUACCGGGUCCCCUUUGGUGGCAUACACGUUUUCAUUGGCAAGAUCGGCGAACCGGGCCCUGAGCCGGACAUCUGCACUGACCUCGUCGAAACGGCUCAGCGUGCGAGAUCUGCCCGGGUCAAGCCUGUCAUGAAGCGUGCCUUCGUAGGAGUUAUCCAUGGAGGGCAAUCUGAGGAUAGAUCGGAAUCUGGUGGUGAGACCGUCGUUUAUUCCGGCGACGAGUCAUCGACCGGAGAGACCGAGUCGUUAUAUCAGUUACAAGAUGGCCGGAUUGGGGGCUGUUCCGAUGGCGACAGUAUUCCAGACCCCUUUGAUCUGCCAAACCGGGUCGCGAUCUUCAUGGCCGGUACGCAACCGGCGCUCCACUCUUCGACCGCAACGGUGAUGAUUUCCGGAUCGGCAGUGGCAACACUGGCCGGGGCAGGAGGCCCUGUGCGCCCGCCAGCUCAGGUUCUAUCUGAUUUGUUUGACGCGUUGGCAACGCUGAUGGCGGAGGUUAACCCGGCGGAUCAGGAUGCACACAAUGCGGAAAUCGCGAAAGUGAAAGAUCAGAUCACCCAGGCCAAAGCCGACUUAGCAGCUGAGGAUACAAGGAUGGCCGCGGAGCGGGCCGCUUUGGAUGCACAAGCUUACCGGAUUAUGCUGGAUCAGAGUGCGUCGAACGAAGUCCUAAAGAGGAGGUACCGAUCUCGCCUGCCGCCGGUUUAUGACGCUAGAAAUCUCUUUAACACCCCAGGAGCAGGGACCAGUAAUCCGCCGGUGGUAAACCGGGCGGAGGCACCUGGAGCAGGGGCGCCGGUUCAGCCACGUUUGGUGGAUCCGCCUCGUCAGAACAACAUUGUAACACCGCAUGUCCCCACGCCACUGGGUCAUUACUCUAACCCGAUGGACAACAUUGUCGCUGCCGCUUCACGGCUGGCGGCCAUCCCGAUCGAAGGCGAUUCUCCGGCGGCGGUCGAGACGCGUCGGGUUAAGGAGCUUCUUCAGACAGCCUUGGUUCAACAGGAGGCUUAUUAAUAUAGUCGCGAUCGGAUUCAUUCCACUCCCCGUCCAAGCCGGAGUUACAGCAGGCGUAUGGAUGAAUCGGCGGUGUCAAGAAAUGCGCGGGAACCGUGAUCCGCCCCGUGGCAAUAACCGGCGGGUGGUGCUGGUGAUGCUUAGGAGGUGGUGGACCGGGCUCGGGCACGCAGAGAGGCCGAGUUAGCGGCGCAGCAUGAAGCCCGUCAGCUUACUCCAGUUCGUCCAAACACAUCGGUGGAACCAGGAGUUACCUCUAGUUCUUUGGGAGUGUCGUGUCUCGUCCCGGCGUUGCGCAAUGUGCGCCUGCCCAAGGAUUUCAAGGGCCCGCGCAAGGUGCCGAAUUACGCCGCCGAUUUAUCCCCUGAAACAUGGGUCGAAAGCUAUGAGAUGGCCAUGGAGAUGCUGGAUGUGGAUGAUGCGGCAUGUGCGAAAUACUUCACCAUGAUGCUAGAAGGGAUGGCCCGCACUUGGCUAAAGAGCUUACCGGCUAAUUCUAUCAGGUCAUGGGCCGAGUUGAGAGCCCGGUUUAUUCAGAAUUUCAAGGAUACAUGCAAGCAGCCCAUGUCAAUUGUGGACUUAGCUGCCUGUGUCCAGGAGGAAGGAGAGUCAACAACCCAUUGGGUGCGCCGGGUUUCGGAGAUUUUGCAUUCAUCGGACCGCAUCAACGCUGACACCGCAGUUUUAACAUUGGAAGGCAAUUGCCGUUUUGAACCCCUGAAGUUGAAGUUGGGACGACUCAAACAUCAUUGUAAUGACAUGGGAACCCUCAUGGCUGCACUGGUGAAGUAUGCCGACUCUGAUAGUACCAAGGAUCCCGAGUCUGACGAUGAUAAGGCAGGGAAGGGAAAAAAGAGCGACAACGCCAAGGGGCAGCACCACAACCCGGCGGGUCAUGGAAACGGCGACAAGCGUAAGGCGGACCACGGUUUAGACUUUGUGGCUAAUACUAAUACACAUGACAAGGGCCAGCGGCGUAAGGGUAAACCGCCCCAGCGCGGUGGAGGGCCAAGUCCUAAUUCGGACCGUUUGUCUUAUCUGUUGAACCAGCCCUGUCCAAAGCAUGGGACGAAGGAGAUCCCGUCCACGCACCUCUGGAAAGAUUGUUACAUCAUGCAAGAGUUUAAAAAUUCUGAUUCUUUCCGGUAUGAUCAUGGACCAGGAGGCGGUUCGGGCCCCGGGUCUCAUGGGCCGGGUUAUGGUGGAGGAAAUUUCGGUUCAGGCUUCCACGGUAAUCAGGGUGGACAUAACAAUCAAAGUAAUCAGGGUAACCAAGGUGGCUAUAAUCAUCAGGGCAAUCAGCAGCAGCAGCAGCAGUCGGGUUACCAGAGCAACCCGAAGCAGUUGAAUAGCGGACAGUAUCAUGUCUUCACCACUAGCUUGGACAAGCGCGAUCAGAAGCUUCAUAAAAGGGCGGUGAAUGCCGUUGAACCGGCGUUGCCCCGUUAUUUGCGCUGGUCUGAGCAGCUGAUUGUGUGGAGUAGAGAAGAUCAUCCACCCCGGGUUGACAAUCCGGGUCAUCUGGCUCUGGUGGUGGCGCCUCAAGUGGGAGGUUAUAAGUUCACUAAGGUACUCAUGGAUGGAGGGAGUAGUAUCAAUAUCCUUUAUUAUGAAACUUUCCGUCGCAUGGGGUUAACAAAUAAAUCUUAAACCGUCCAAUACGGUGUUCCAUGGUGUGGUGCCUGGUAAGUCGGCAUAUCCUGUUGGUAAGAUAGCUCUGGAGGUGGCUUUUGGAGAUGAGCAUGACUCGAGAUUAGAAACCUUGACCUUUGAAGUGGUGAAAAUCAGAAGCCCAUAUCAUGCUCUAUUUGGACGGCCAGCUUAUGCUAAGUUUAUGGCACGGCCUUGUUAUGUCUAUCUGCAGCUCAAGAUGCCGGAUCACAAGGGAACUAUAAUCGUGCAUGGGAGCCGCAAGAUUGCUCUGGAGUGUGAAGAAGGUGAUGUGGCUUAUGCUGAGUCGGUUUGUGCAACAGAAGAGUUGAAGUUUUACAAAGACAAUGUUGAUCCGGCAGAUAUGACUUCAUUAAAGAAACCAACUACAGAGCAUGAUCUGGCCCUGAAAUUCAAAUCGGCUGAUGAGACUAAGCUUGUUGACUUCGUGCCCGGCGAUUCGUCCAAGCAAUUUAGCAUUAGCGCUAACUUGGAUCCGAAAUAGGAAAGUGCGCUUAUCAAGUUCAUCCGUGAGAAUCGGGACAUAUUUGCGUGGAAGCCUUCUGACAUGCCAGGUGUACCGAGAGAACUCGCUGAGCACACUCUCAAUAUUGAUCCAAAGUAUAAACCGGUCAAGCAGUUUCUCCGCCGGUUCAAUGAAGAAAGACACAAGGCUAUUGGAGAAGAAGUAGCUAGACUCUUGGCGGCUGGAUUUAUCGUUGAAGUAUUCCAUCCUGAGUGGUUGGCUAAUCCGGUGCUGGUCCUCAAGAAGAAUGGCACUUGGCGUAUGUGUGUGGACUACAAAGAUCUCAACAAAGCUUGUCCAGCAGAUCCUUUUGCCCUUCCCCGUAUUGAUCAAAUUAUUGAUGCUACGGCGGGUUGCGAGCGUUUAAGCUUUUUGGAUGCAUAUUCUGGUUAUCAUCAGAUCAAAAUGGCAGUUAAGGACCAGGAGAAGACAGCCUUCAUAACUCCCUUUGGAGCCUUCUGCUAUGUGUCCAUGCCCUUUGGGCUCAAGAGUGCCCAGGCGACUUAUCAACGGUGUGUGCAGAAUUGUCUUCAUAAGCAGAUCGGCCGCAAUGUUCACGCCUAUGUGGAUGAUAUUGUGGUAAAAUCGAGGAAGAAGGAGACAUUGAUUGAUGACUUGAAGGAAACCUUUGAUAACCUACGGGUUUAUAAAAUGAUGCUUAAUCCGGCUAAGUGUGUCUUUGGUGUACCUGCAGGCAAGCUCUUGGGCUUUUUGGUGUCUAAUAGGGGUAUUGAAGCUAAUCCGAAAAAUAUCAAGGCCAUCACCUCCUUGGCCAAACCGAAGUGUAUCAAUGAUGUUCAACGCCUGGCAGGAUAGAUUGCCGCGUUGAGCCGGUUUAUCAGUCGCCUUGGAGAGAAGGCCAUCCCUUUGUAUCAGAUGCUGAAGAAAACGGAUAACUUCGUCUGGAGUGACGCCGCUAAUGAAGCAUUUGAGGACUUAAAGCGGCAGCUGGCUAAUCUGCCGGUUCUUGCUGCUCCGGUUGACAAAGAACCAUUGUUGCUAUAUGUGGCAGCUAAUGCUCGGGCUGUUAGUGUGGCUAUUGUGGUGGAGCGCAAGGAGGCCGGAAAGGAAUAUCUGGUUCAAUGGCCGGUCUACUAUAUCAGUGAGGUACUUAUUGAGUCCAAGCAGAGGUACCCGCAUUGGCAAAAAUUGGUGUAUGGGGUUUUUAUGGCAAGCCGAAAGCUUAAGCAGUAUUUCCAAGGUCAUCCCAUCACGGUGGUCAGCUCUGCUCCGUUGGGAGAUAUAAUCCAGAACAGGGAAGCAACUGGCCGGAUUGCUAAGUGGGCUAUAGAGCUCGGGCCUCACGGGUUGAAAUACAUACCCCGAACGGCGAUCAAAUCUCAGGCACUUGUGGAUUUCAUCAAUGAUUGGACAUAAUUACAAGCGCCAGAGGAGAAGCCAGAUCAUACUUAUUGGACUAUUCAUUUUGAUGGGUCCAGGCAAUUGGAGGGCUCGGGGGCUGGAGUCGUAUUAACUUCCCCACGAGGUGAUAAGUUUUGUUAUGUUCUCCGUUUAAUGUUCCCUUGCACAAUGCAGCUGAAUAUUAGGCUUUACUCCAUGGUCUUCAGAUGGCUAAGGAGAUGAACCUAAGCCGAGUUAAGUGCUUCGGUGACUCGGAUCUGGUGGCUCAACAAGUGUCCGACACUUGGGAUUCCAAGGACCCACUAAUGGCAGCAUAUCAUCGUGAGGUGGAUAUUGUUGCAGGUCACUUUAAAGGUUAUCAGGUGGAUCAUGUGGACCGGUGGAAGAAUGAAGCGGCGGACGCUUUAAGCCGCCUGGGUUCCCAACGUAAACCGGUUCCACCUAAUAUCUUCCUGGAUGUUUUGCAUCAUCCGUCCGUCAAGCCCCUGGUGAAGAGGAUUUGGCUGUUCCUGAUCCGGAGGCUCAGUUGGUGGCGGCUCUUCACGUUAUCCCGGAUUGGACGGUUCCAUAUCUGGCGUAUAUGAACCGGGGCGAGUUACCAGAGGAUGAGACUCUGGCCAGGCAGAUAAUCCGGCGGUCCAAGUGCAUGACUAUUAUUAAUGGGGAGUUACAUCAUUGCAGUGUGACAGGGGCGUUUCAACGCUGUGUGUCUCCUGAAGAAGGCCGUGAUAUUUUACGUGAGAUCCACGAAGGAGAUUGUGGUCACCAGGCCGGUUCAAAGUCUUUGGUGGCCAAGGCGUUUCGUCACGGUUUCUAUUGGUUGACAGCUCAUGCUGAUGCCGAGGACUUGGUCAAAAGAUGUGAUGGCUGCCAGAAAUUCUCAAGGCGCGCUCAUGUACCGGCUCAAGAAUUGAGGAUGAUUCCAAUCACCUGGCCAUUUGCAACUUGGGGGCUGGAUAUGGUUGGGCCUUUCAAGAGGUCCAAGAACAAGAAGACCCACCUUUUGGUGGCAGUUGAUAAGUUCACGAAGUGGGUGGAGGCAGGGCCAGUUAGUAAGUGUGACGCAGCCACGACGGUUCAAUUCAUCAAAAAGGUGAUCUUCCGGUUCGGCUUUCCACACAGCAUUAUAACAGAGAAUGGUACCAAUCUGUCAAAAGGUGCCAUGAAGGAGUUCUGUCAACGUGAGCACAUCCGGCUUGAUGUGUCAUCAGUGGCUCACCCACAGUCUAAUGGUCAAGCGGAGAGGGCCAAUCAAGAGAUCUUGAGAGGCAUCAAACCCCGGCUUAUGGUUCCUUUGCAACGGACGCCGGGUUGUUGGGUUGAGGAGUUACCUUCUGUGUUGUGGAGCAUCAAUACCACACCCAACAGAUCGACAGGAUACACACCAUUCUUCAUGGUUUAUGGAGCGGAAGCAGUUCUUCCUAGUGACAUCCGUCAUGACUCGCCUCGUGUAGCGGCAUAUGUUGAAGUUGACAACGAGAAGGCACGACAGGAAGCUCUUGACCUCUUAGACGAGGAACGUGACAUGGCGGCAGCCCGUUCGGCGAUUUAUCAGCAAGAUCUGCAUCGUUAUCAUAGCCGCCGGGUUAGAACCAGAACCUUUCAAGAAGGUGCUUUGGUGCUUCGGCUCAUCCAGGAUCAGACGGAUAUGCAUAAACUAUCCCCCCCUUGGGAAGGACCCUUUGUGGUUAGCAAGAAUCUGCACAAUGGGUCAUACUACCUAAUCGAUGUUCGAGAGCGCAAAGACUCACGUAAAUCGGAGGAGGAGACCAACCGGCCGUGGAAUAUUGCUCAUCUUCGGCCCUACUAUACUUGAGCCAUAGGAUCUGCUUAUGUACAUAUUAUGACAUUGUAUAUAUUAUGAUCAAUAUAAUAAACCGGAACCUCAGCUAAAGCGGGGUAUCCGUUGUUACAUCAUGUGUGGUUACAUGGAGCUUACAAAGCGGUGUCCGGUUUACCCCUUGAUUUAGCUUCUCAAAGCUUUAUAUUACAUCACUUGGGGGCUUGGUCGUAUCCGAACCAUAGCUACACCUCUUGAUCGGUGCAAUGCCACAACAUCACUUGGGGGCUUGGUCGUAUCCGAACCAUAGCUACACCUCUUGAUCGGCACAAUGCCACAGCAUCACUUGGGGGCUUGGUCGUAUCCGAACCACAGUCACACCUCUUGAUCGGCUCAAAGCCACAUCAAUCCGGGGCCAAAGAGAGUGUUGUAAAACAACAACUCAAACAUAGGCACCCACUGAGCACAGCUCACAAUGUUGCUUGGGGAUUCUUUGCCGUCGAAAUGAACUAAGAAUCUACACUUGUAACAGGCUAUCAAGCCAUGACUUGGAAGUCUGGUGUAUACACCUAAAACCCCGGGUUAACCUGCCUAUUUAAGUAAGUCACUCCGCCCAGGUAAACCUGGUAUGACCCUUCGAACUUUGACAAGUUACUCUAAAAUGAAGACCCUGAACUUGUCAAGUUAAAACGAUGAUUGGUUAAGGAUUGAGGACCAUCUUAAAAGGCUUUGCAAAAAUGGUUUAACUCAGUGGCCUGGCAGCCCAUGAAAAGCCUCGAAUUUGGGGCCUGGCAGCCCGUGAAAGCCUCGACUACAACGGUUUUUAUUUGCCUUUUGCUAAGUUUUCUUUGUUUCAUAAGAUUUGUGAUGUUUUUAAAACCGGUGUUUAUCAACCCGGUCAGGCUGUCAACUACAAGUUGUCAGUACACGAUCAAAUUAUAAUCCGGAGACUAUCAGCCCGGUCUGGUUUUGACUCAAAGUCACCAGUAUGGAAUAAACCGGUGUUUAUCACAGCCCGGAACGGUUUUCUGAUAAAACGACAUCAUAUAACAGGAGUUACUUCUACUCCGGAUUAGGGUUAUUACCCUCAUUACAAAGUUGGUCAGCCAACCCUAUGCCUAAAGGUCAUAGGUAUCAUAUAUUUCCAUAUUUGGUUAUCUUUUACAACCUUGGUUAUAAACCUUGGUCAUAUAUAUAUUUGGGUAUCAUGACCUGCCCGGUGGUAAACCGCCAGGGCGCUUUAAGCUUCUUAUCUGCAGGAACAACUUGAAUAAAUAGCUAUGGAUUAUGAACAUCAUAUCUUAAGCAUGGCGGAUUAGCAUGCAUCAGUUGCAGAUAAAUAUGCACGAAGGCAUAACAGACCAAGUGCUUUAACUAGCCUAUUACAAGGCAUUUCAGUGCCCAAAGGGAUAACUGUUUCUCAAUAAGCAUUGCAGCACGUGGAAGACUAAACCGGCCCCCGGAUUAUGAUUGCUUAUCAGCUUGACCUGAUGGCUACGGAUCAUCUUGCACCGGUUCAUCUUCUUCGUCUCUACCCAGCGGCUGGAAGUCAACAGUUGUCCAGUCGAUCCCAGUUAAAGCUUGGAACACAGCUUCGUCGCUUAUAAGGGUUGACAGUUCAAUAUCAGGGGCAUAAGUGUGCUUACGGAUUGGAGGGAUCAGAUUUUGCGCUUCACGAGUCGGUGCAGCAACCCGUUUGUUAUUAGUGUCAUAGCUCGCCUGGUAAAAAGAAAGAUCAGCUUCUUCAGCCAGUUGACAAGCCAGUGGAUGUACUUCCCGGUUUAUGGCGCGGAGAUCCUCCUGAUCAAAUUCUGAUCCGUCUUCUUUUAAGCUGGGAUAGCCUUUAGCCACUUCCAUCGGAUCAAGGUCAGGUACCCAUGCUUUUGCCUGGGUUAGUGCGGUCAAAGCACCCGCCCUUGCAGCAGAUCUCUUUAGCUCUUCUACCCGGGCAGGCAGCAUCGACAACCUUGAUAAGGUUUCCUUAAUUAAAGUGGGGGGAGGCUUGUUGUGUGAAGCGGCACAGAUGAUCCGUUGUGCACCGGUAUAUAACUGCUCUAUCAGCGUGUAGGUGGCCUUCAGUUUCUUCUGUACAUCAGAGCCCAGGUGACUAAUGCGAGUUCCUGCAUCAUUACAAAUGUCAGUAAACCGACAACACAUGGGAAAGAUAUGUUGAAAGUAUUAAGGAAAAGAUGUUUACCGAACACAGCAGCAGUCAUGGCAUGAAUCUGCCGCUUUACGCCGGUCAGUUCAUCAACCACCGGUUUAAGAGCGGCUUCUGCGUUUUCAGCCCUUUUUAUCAAAGCGGAUUUUUCAGUCUCCCAAUCCGCCCGCUCUUUGUUGAAGCCCUCUUUUAGUUUCUCCAUAGCGCCUAGAGCGCUGGUCAAUUCUUCCUUUGCUUUGGAGGCUUCAGCUUGCUGGGAUUUGAGGUUCUCUUGCAGAUCAGCGGUUUGGCUUUCCUUCUUGCUUAGUUCAGCCUAUAAAGAGACAGAUAUAUAAUGAGUUGACAGUACAUAUUUGAAGUACCAAGCACAUAACAAGUUAUGCCCUUAGUACUUGGGGGCUAAUGCAUAUUUGCUCUUUAUCAGAAAUUUUUACAAGUCCCAAGCACAAUACAAGUAUUAAGCUUGGCACUUGGAGGCUAAUGUGUAUUUGCUCAUAAAAUGCUGAUAUGGGUAUUCUUCUACAAAGUCCCGGUUCAUCUUUAUAAAGUUAAACCGGCCCUUGGGGGCCACAUCAGUGAAGUUAAGAUGCAUUGUUGCAAACAUGAAAUUGCUACUAAGUCCCGGUUUAAAUUGGUAUCUUAAACGGUCACUUGGGGGCUACUGGAGUUGAUAAGCUGCAAUUAAAUAUAAGAGAAAAACACUUAUGAAGUUACCUCAUAUCGCUCCUUCAUCAUAUUUACCAAACCGACUUCAUAGUCACGGCUGGUGUACAGACGGUUCAGGAAGCCAGAGUGAAGGUCUUGAGCAUUCAGAUGGGCAUAAUUUGACAAAUCGGCGUUCCAUCUGCCUUUGCCAAUUGCAGAGAGCUCAUCUUUGGCAGUAUGCUUUGACAAAGCGACAGGAUUGCCCGGAGCGGUAUGGCCAGUGCCAGUAAUCAUAAUGUCAUCAUCUUUUUCAUCUGCAGCCGUUACUGGGGUUGGCGGUUUGUCAGUAUUUUUAACUGGACUUGCCGGUUUAUUGUCAGUUCGGACAGGGCUGGUUGGCUGGUCAGCAUGGCUUGUGGUGUCAACUUCUGCCUGCUCAGUAACGAAGUCAUGAUCUUGAGCGGUGGGUCAUUCAGUAUGGCAUCAAUGUUGGUCUCUUCAGGAUCUGGAGUUUUCUCCGGUUCAACAGCCACGUCUUCAUCAGCCGGUUUAUUCAACCGAGCUUUCUUGCUGGGUCUGGGCUUGGCGCUGAGAAAAGAUAGACAUGAGGAUCAGUACAGUAUGUAAAGAUAACACAUCAAGAAUAAAGACACGUGCAUAGCUCACCCAUGAACUGUUUUGAGGGGUGGAAGCUGUGUGGCCGAUGACUCGCCAGAAGAUGAGUGAGAAGUACCCUGAUAAUUUGAAUCAGACGGGUUAAGAGGCUGGCGGAAACAACCCGCUUUGGGGCAUGAAGUGUCAAGGGUAUAAGAGACCUCUGAUCGGCGUUUUUCGAACUGGAGUAUUCGGUAAACUGGCGGAGGUAACUACCUGGCCGCUGUGCCGGGUUGUGCGGCGAGCCUCGUGCUGCUGUGUCUUCAAAAGAAAGUUUGGGUCCAAGUAAGCAAGGGGGUGAGAAAAUUUUACUUUCCGGUUUGCUUGACGGAUUUUUGAUGUUGGCAGAGGAUCUGAAUCGGAGGAAAGAAUGGUUACCUCUACGUCAUCAGCAUGACUGCCUUCAGCGUCGUCCUGAUAAUAAUCAUUGUCAAUGAGGUGUACGAAAAAUGAACCAAGAGAGUCAAGUUCUACCUCUGAUUCCAGAUUACCCACAUCGUCGUCAGCUGGUAGAUCGGAGGAUGCAGUGGUACUUUUCUUGGCAGGUUUUUUAACAACCUUGGUCUUUGGACGAACUGGUUUCGCCGGUUUGUCUUGUGGUGGUUUCUUAUUCCAGAACGGAUCAUCACCCUGUCAGAAAAUAAUCACACUUGCAGAGAAUAUUUGGACAGAAGCAACUUCAGAUAAAAAGAUUAUAUGAUUCUUACAGCUAGUGGUUUGUUGAAGGUGCAGAAAGGGAGUAGUCCGGUUUGGGCACAGACAGCCUCCGGUUCGUUCAGCAUCUUUUUUACAACCUCAGUGACUUCUGCAUCUGUAAGCUGAAUGUCAAUGUGCCGCUGAGCAUCCUUGAAACUCCCCGUAUACUCACACAUCAAACCGGAGCACCGGCUUAAGGGCAUAAUACUCCAGCUUAUCCAACAACGAGCAAGAUCAACUCCUGUCAAACCGUUUGCCAUGAAGGCUCUAAGCUAUGAUAAUUGAGGAGGAUAGUUGGCCCUUUCUUUUGCAGUCAACCUCUGAGGAAAAGGAUGUGUGUUGCUCAGGCGUUCAGGGUGGUAACCCGGCAAGGGGUUUUCAUCAGGUGGAGAUGUAUCCUUGCAAUAAAACCAGGUCUGGUUCCACUCUUUGGGGUGACUGUGGAGCUUGUGGUGAGGGAAAGUAGUUUCCUUCCUUUUCUGAACCGCCAUUCCGCCCAGUUCCGUAUUGGGUCCAUCCGAGAACUCUGUGUGACGGUUUAAGUGAAAGAAAUCCCUAAACAGUUCGACUGUAGGUUCCUCUUGCAGAUAAACCUCACAGAAGACUUGGAAGUGGCAGAUGUUGGUCACAGAAUUGGGACCGAUGUCUUGAGGGCGCAACUGAAAAUUGGCUAGUACAUCUCGGAAAAUUUUCGAACCGGGAGGGCUAAAACCUUGACUCAAAUGGUCAGCAAACACGACUACCUCUCCGUCCUUGGGUGUAGGAGGAUUUUCCGGGCCAGGGACCCUCCAGUGGAUGACAUCUUUCUUGGCUAAAGCGUUCGUUUUAACAAGAUUGUUUAACUGUUCUUCGGUUACUCGAGAAGGAGCCCAAUUGCAUUCAUAGACUUUCUUGGCCAUGGCAAUGAAAGAUCUGAAACAUGAUUAUGGCCGGUUUAAGAUUUACAAUGGACAACUAUACAGUGGUAUAAGGAUGUAAGCAUAUUGUUAAACCGGAAUUGGUUAUUCGUAAACCGGAGUCUGACAAUGGAAACAAUACAAUGAUGAAUGCAUUGGCAGUUCAACAGGGGACUAAUGGUAUCUACUUGGUCAUCAUUUUGUAUAUGAAGUUAAACCGCCCAAUCUGGUAUUAAAAGUGUAUAAGUGAAGGAAGAAACAAGUUCCACAUCUUGCCAUGGUAAUUUCAGAUCUACCGCGUGUUGGAAAAACAAAAUAUAUUCUGACCUAAUUUCUAGCGUGUUAAAGGUUCACCAAGUUGAGAUGAGUUUUAUACAAGGCAGAUGUUCUAACAAGGAAGCAGGAGUUUAAAGUACAAAGGCUUUGGAAAAAGUAGAUCUAAACUAGCCAUUGGUACUGCUAAAGAGAAACAAACAGAUUCAAGAACUUCGAAGAACUACGAAGAACGACGAACCCUAACGGUUGAUCUGGAGUAAGAAAGGAGGAACGUACUGGUGCUGAGGAAGCAGCGGAGGAUUGCCGCGUUUUUCUGGUCCGAUCAGGUUCAUGCAGCGGCCGUCGCGNNNNNNNNNNNNNNNNNNNNNNNNNNNNNNNNNNNNNNNNNNNNNNNNNNNNNNNNNNNNNNNNNNNNNNNNNNNNNNNNNNNNNNNNNNNNNNNNNNNNNNNNNNNNNNNNNNNNNNNNNNNNNNNNNNNNNNNNNNNNNNNNNNNNNNNNNNNNNNNNNNNNNNNNNNNNNNNNNNNNNNNNNNNNNNNNNNNNNNNNNNNNNNNNNNNNNNNNNNNNNNNNNNNAGACCCCCUAGCCCUAUUUAUAAGGGUAAUAAGCGUCAGGCGUGAAAAUCGAGGAGCCUAAAUUUUGGAUAUGAGGCGGAGCUGUCGCCUCAAUUGUCGGAGGAUCAUUAAUGAAGGUGGAUUAUACACAGUUUUAAAUAACAGGUGACGUCACGGCGGUUUACCAUGGGCCUAGAAGAUGAUGUCAUGGCGGUUUACAAGAUUAUGUGAAGAUGUUGAAGAAGAAAUUUUCUUAAGUAUUGAGGAUUGACAUGAACCAGUUCAAAUCAAUCUGUGGCCUAAUGUUGGGGAUAUUACCACUGGGCGUAAACCGGCUAGGAGAGGCCGGGUUAACCCUAUAAGUAGUUCAUCUGUAUCUGAAGUCAUGAAGACAGACGGUGACGCUUUAUGAAGGCCCAGGGCCCAAAGCCGGUUUAAGGCCUGUAGACAUAAACCAGCAUUAAUAUGUAAACUUGUGUUGUAAGAUAGAAGUAGCAAAGACCGAGCCGGACACGAUUAUGAGCCGGCCUCGGGAUUCUGUAAACCGACGGGCGUCAACCCAUGUAUAUAAGGGGACGACCCGGCGGUGGUUCAAGGACGACAGACAACAACUUGAGACUCAGGCAAAGCGUAUUCGCUCCCUGGUCAUCGAAACCCCAACAAUUCCAUCACAACUAGACGUAGGCUUUUACCUUCAUCUUAAGGGGCCGAACUAGUAUAAAACUCUCUUGCGUCCCUUGUCCGCUUUAACCCCUUUAAGUUAACCCGUAGAGAUGGCUCCACGACUAAGUCCUUUCUCUAGGACAUCCGCCGUGACAAAACCACGACAUAUAUAUAUAUAUAUAUAUGUGUGUGUGUGUGUGUGUGUGUGUGUGUGUGUGUCACGUCCUAUAUGUUAUGAGUGUUAUCUUAUUAUUAUUUUUUGUGGGUAGUUAUGAGUGUUAUAUAUAUUUUAUGUGUUGUUAUAUUUAUUUGUCCCAAGUUUUGGCACGCCUAACAAUUUUGUUUUUGCGAAUAAAUACUGGUGGGGGUGUGCCAGCCAUGAGAGUCCACAGCCGCGCGUGCGUCCCUCCUAGAUCGGCUAAUCUGUAAAAAAAAGAGAUGGUGUGGAACAAAGUUUGGAUUUAAUUUUGGCCACCCCCACUAGUAUACAUAAACACUAUUCUGAUCACGGGAUGAGAAUAAUAUUCUGAUCACAACCUCACCUGCCCGCUAGUAGUAUGUUGAACUUCCCUCUGAACUAGUUUGAACUUCCGCCAACAUUGCCCAAACGGGGCUUGCAAUAUACCGUUGGAAAGCUAUGGACACCAGUAUCAUGACCCAACUUAACUUUUUGUCAAAAUGUAAGCGGUUUAAUAGCAGUUUUGAAAACCGUUUUUUCUUCACACAAAAAUGUGAACCAUAUUUUUGAUCGCAUUUCUAAAUCAUUUAUCGGAAUGAAGCAAAUAAUAUGGCGUUGGAAAGCUGCUGCAAAACCGCUCCUUCCACAUGUUGAAAGUUUUCUUUAAUUCCCUAUGAUUAAAGAGUAAUUUGGAAAAACGUAAAAUUUCGCAAUCCGCACAACCGAGUUCGUAUUUUCGAUGUCAUUUCUAAACGGCUAAUCCAAUUGAGACAAAUGAUAUGGCGUUGGAAAGCUUAUGAAAAUGCGCUACUUUUUCAUGUUGAAAGAUUUUUCUAAUUUUAAAUGGUUUAAGAGUAAUUUAGAAAACGAUACAAGUCCUACCGAGUUCGUAUUUUCGAGCUCAUUUUUUAACCGUGCAUCCGAAUGCAACAAAUGAUACGGAGCUGGAAAGCUUGAACAAAUGCGAAACCUUUUGGUAUGUAUUAUUUCUCCCAAUUCUUUAUGGUUUUAAGUCAAUUUCGAAAAUGAAAAAAAGGUAUUUUCGCUGUAUUUUCUACAAACUUUAGCGGAUUGAGGCAAAUAAUAUACCGCUGAAAAGCUACGGAAAAUGCGAAACUUUUUCAUGUUGAUGGUUUUCUCUGAUUCCUAGCCGUUUUCAAAUAAUUGCGAAAAUGGCGAGAUCGUUCGUUCUACCUUUAUCGCGAAACAGACUUUUCGAAAAUGCACCGCGUGAAGAACCUGAACUUCUCGGCACGUGUACUUGAACUUCACUCUGUUUUUCCCGUGCUUUUUUUUGCUCCCAGCUCUCCAUCCACUCACCGGAAUUGAGCAAGUGAUAUACCGAUGGAAAGCUGCUGUAAACACGCAACUUUCCUGUGUUGAUCAUUUUUUCAUACUCGUGACGGUUUUAAAAGUUUUUCAUCCAAAAUUCGUUUAGUGUAGUAGUUGAACUUCUGUUGCAGUUUUGUUUUGAACUUCACUCAGUUUUUGACGUGCUGUUUUUUUCCUGUAACUCCCAAACCACUUACCGGAAUUGAGCAAAUGAUAUACCGAUGGAAAGCUAUUGAAAACACGCAACUUUUUCGUCUUAAUCAGUUUUUCAUACUCGCGGCGGAUCAAAAUAAUUUUUUGAAUGCGUAAAAAAUGUGUUUUUAACGGUAUACAUAAAACUUUUAAACCAUUCAUCCAAAUAUAGCAUAUAAUAUAUCGUUGGAGAGCUUAUGAACAUGAGCAUCUUAUUCAUGUAGACAGACGUUACAAAUUAUUGUCAUUUGAGAGAAGUUUUAAAAAUGGCAAGAAUAACGUUGUUUUUUGCCUGUUUUUAACAUGUAAUUGAAGGUCAGAUGUCUCACACUAGAGAUCUCGAACUGCACCGGGAGGAGCACGUGAACUUCUUGCAACAAACCUUUUAGGCUUGUUGUUUUUUAUUUGUUUUAUUCUCAUCUGAAACGCCUUCCGUUUAGUAGUUCAACUUCCCGCUGUUUUCACGUUGAACUUCUGUGACGUAUUUUCGUUUGUAAUUCUUCUCAUCCAUUCGUUAGUGUUACACAAAUGAUUUUCCUUUUGUACAAACCAUUCUCACAAUAAUUUUUUUAAUUUUCUCCGACCGAGGACUUGAACUUAUAACGACAAAAAUUUUGACCUUGCCUUUUUAUUUCAUUUUUGUCAUAUUAAACACACACCAUGUAGUACAUGAACCUUUUCCACUUUUAUAAUUUGAAUUUUUUAUUUUAUUUUUGAAAUCAAAUUGCUCCCAAACAAUAAUUGAACUUCUUUGUGGAUUGAGAGAAUUAUUUUCAAAUGCAAAAAACAAUUCUUUUUUGUGUUUCCGAACAUGGAAAUACAAGGUGAACCUCUCUCGCAAGAAUUUUUGGACUUCUCCGGACAGAGCACUUGAACUUCUUGCAACAAACCUUUUAAAAUUUUAGUUUUCUAUUCUUAUAUUCUUACCUGAAACGCAUUCCAUGUAGUAGUUGAAUUUCCCGCUGUUUUCACCUUGAACUUCUGUCACGUAUUUUUGUUCAACCUCUCUCAUACGAAUUUUUGAAUUUUCUCGGGCUGAGCACUUGAACUUGUAGCAACAAAACUUUCGGCCUUUGAUUUUUUCAUUCUUUUUUAAUACAAAUUGCACAGCGUGUAGUACGUGACCUUCUCGCAAUUAUCAAUUUGAACUUCUCUUGGUUACGGGAAAAUAUUUAAGUUUUUUAUAGACAUUAAACCGCUCUACUUUUUUUAUUGGUUUUAAUCUUUAGUAUUGGGGAAAUCUGAGUUUUUAUAAACAUUAAACAACUUCAUUUUUUUUAAUUUGGACUUUUUGGUGUUAUUCAUUACUAACGGGAAAAGUCAUAGUUAUGUAAUAAAUAUCGAACUGGUCAAGUAUUUAAAGUUGAACUUCUAGAUCUUAACAAAACAGGGGCAAAUAUAUGGUUUACAAACUUUUUAAACUACUCGAUUUUUUAUUCUUUAGUAACGAGGAAAAUCUGAGUUUUUUAUAAACAUUAAAUUGCUCCAUCUUUUAAUUUGGACUUCUUGUUUUAUUUUCCAUUAAUGGCAAAAAUCCAAGUUUUGUAAGAAAAGAAAAACACUGAACCAUUCCCUUAUUUUAAUUUGACCUUCUAGGUUUUUUUAGAAACGGGUAUCAUCCUUUUCUAUAACUUCAAAUUUAAAACAUGAAAAAUCCUUUUUUUAGAAACGAGGGAGAUCAGGGGACUUGAACGACCUGGGUUCACCAAUUUGAACUUCACGCAAAAUUGAAAAACAAUUAUUUACUCGGUUUCUUGCAAACGAGGGAUAUCUGGACGUACAUCAAGUCAAUUUUUUCUUAAGCCAAAUACAGAAACAAUGGAUCAAGAAAAAAACAUAUUUUUAGUUAUUCUCUCGGCUGUUUCCAUACAAACAAAGACAUGUUGUAACUCUCAUUUCUCACCACACUCUGAACUAAAAAAACGUAGAAAAACAAACUUUUGGGGGAUGGUUGGUGCUCCCUCAAGCUUGGGGAAAUAACUACAGGAGAACCAAAACUGAUUUUUUUAAUGUUGGCACUUUAGGUGAAUGAAACCACAUGCUCCUUUUUUUCAUCAAGUAGGAUAACACAGCGAACAUCGAUGGGCGUCUGUGCUCAUCUUUUUUUUAUAGUUUUUGGUGAAGUUCGAUUUUUGCCCUGCUGAUUUGCAGUAGCAUAGUAGUGCAAUCAUAUUGCGGGGCGCUGAUGACCGAAAGUAUGAAAUCAAAACUAUGAGGCCCAGAUCUCGUCAGAGCAUCCGGGAGCGCUACAUAUGUGAACCUCCAGCGGCGGCGUAGUUGAACGACCCAGAGGUGGCACUGAUGAACGUCAUGCUGCAGCGGUGGCGUCGAUGAAAUGAACUUUUUUUACUCUCACAUCACUAUUCAGAACACAUCUAGAAUCAAGGACGAAUAAGAGGAACACACCAAUAAAAUAUUCCAUGCUCAACGUCCAAGCGCAUGAGCAUUAUGCACUUUACAUGAUUAUGGUUUAGUACUAACUAGCACAGCCAGGAGCAACUUUAAUCCUUCAAGAAGAAAAGAGCAACUUUACGUAGUCAGCAACCUAGUUACCUGAACUUCUGAAGAACAAAAACAAGGACGAUGUAGAGUUAGAUUUUCAGAGUGGCAAGUUCCUCUAAAUUGCCAAACAAGAAUCACUUGUGAAGAUAGAUGGGUAGUCGCCUUAGUACAAACAUGCAGAAGCGGUGGCAUCUCAACAAGCAAGGCAACAGAGGGAGAGGAGCAACAGGAACGCCACACCAUUGUGAUCGAUGCUGCUGCGGCUGCACCAUUUGCAUUGCCUGAACUUCUCUACGUCUGUCUUGCGUGCACACUCGUAUGCAAACGUAUGAAGGUAUUGCAUUCUGCUUCUAGCUUGGCUUCUGUUAACACCGCAUGUGGCUGUCAUGUGCACGCGAGCACCACACACGCUCCGCCCGUGAAGCGGACAUAAGCACACAUGCGCCGUUGGACUACACAGGCUCACCGGCCGAACUUCACAGGCUGGAUGGAGCUCGUUGUUCCUUCCAGCGGAGUCGCGCCCAGCGCGGCGAGCAAGACCAUGCCUCAGGCCAGCUCCGUUGGUCACCAACGAGCAGGAUGAUACCACGGGCCAAAGACGAACUAUGUGUACGCGCUACCGAACUGCAGCCUGCCCGGCUCGUGCGUGCCACUGAGCAACCUCGUUCAUGGACCGAGGAGAAGCCACCGGAGCUACUGCCCCAUUCUUUAAGAUCCAAGGAGAACUGAGGAGGAGGAGUAUAGAGGACGUGGAGGGAUCUCAUAGUUAACCUCACCGACGGCGCGGCAGGGACGGGGGUCGAGGAUGGCUAUGGGGUGGGGCGCGGUGGCCUCGGGCGGCAGAGGGAGGCGCGUCCUGACUCGGGGAGGCGGCGGGAGGAGCGUGGCGCCCAGGUGGGCCACCGACGGGAGGCGCGCCAGAGCCACGGGCGGGGCGCUGUGGCCUCGGGCGGCAACGACAGGCGCGUCAGCAGCUAGAAAGGGACUGUGUGGGGAGGCGGCCAUGGACUGUGUGCUAGGUUGAUGGUGCUCGAGGAUCCCCGACGGCGGCGGCGAUUGGGACGCGGAGGAGCGUGCGGCCAUGGCGNNNNNNNNNNNNNNNNNNNNNNNNNNNNNNNNNNNNNNNNNNNNNNNNNNNNNNNNNNNNNNNNNNNNNNNNNNNNNNNNNNNNNNNNNNNNNNNNNNNNNNNNNNNNNNNNNNNNNNNNNNNNNNNNNNNNNNNNNNNNNNNNNNNNNNNNNNNNNNNNNNNNNNNNNNNNNNNNNNNNNNNNNNNNNNNNNNNNNNNNNNNNGGAUCGAGGGAGGUCGGGGUGGGGAUCGGGGCUAUUGGGAGUUCGGGAACACCUCGUGGCUCCUAUAUAGGGCGGGUCGUGAUCCAAAUAACUAUUCUAAUCCCGGAUUAGAAUAGUGCCAAUAUAUAUAUAUAUAUAUAUAUAUAUAUAUAUAUAUAUAUGGAAAAUACAUCCUACCAUCUGGGGUAGUCACCCCACAUGUCUCAUAUAUUACCAUGUGGUAGUAUAUAUUCUACUUUAUCAUUUUAAGUAUGUUCAUAUAUUAUAUAUAAGAUACUUCAAAGUGAGUUACAUGAAAAAAUUGCAAGUUGGCCCAUGGUUUUUAUUAUAUUUAUGAAAUACGUAUAUAUUUAUACAUAAAAAGGAGCAUACUCAAAAUACGAUAUAUACUACCAAAAAAGUAGUAUAUAUAGUACGUAAACAAUCUUAUAUAUAUACUACAUACUACACGUACAUACUCUCCAAUUUGAUAGAUACUACAUACAACAUACAAAACUCAAGUGGUGGUAACUAUCACUGGUGGUAAAUAAAAUUCGUCACCCUGGGUGAGGAAUAGUUAUUCUUCAUCCCCCUCUAUUUUAUCACCAGUACACUGUAAUUUUACGUUCUGUAAGUUUUGUCUUAUUUCUGACGUAAGAAGAGACCGUAAGAAAAUAUAUAAUCGCCGUAAAAAAUAUUUUUUAUUAUGUAAAAUUACAAACGUAAAAAAAUAGUGUAAAAUAUGCAUAAACUCCAAUUUUUUUUGUCUUAUGACCUAUAUUUUUAUUUUUUAUACCAAAUUUUACGUAGUGAAUCAAUAAGAAUGUAACUAUUUGAAUUUCAAAUGUAAUUUAAUUAUGAAGUGAUCGUAAGAUUACCUCGGGUGAAAAAUAGCAUCACUAUAUAUAUAUAUAUAUCCACUAAGGGUUUUAGUCCUUUAACUUUUAAAGGAUCAGCUAGAGAUGGCCUUAUGACUUGUUUAUUUCAGUUCUUCACAAUGUGAUACUCUAUAUGUGCAACUAUUUACCGUGCAGUUCAAUUUCAUCAAUAAAAGUUUCAACAAUACCACUUUCCAUUAUGAUAUUUGGUUGCUAUUAAGGAUAUUGCAGUUAACAUGCCUUUUUUUAACAAUAACUAGUGUACUUUAGACCUGCACAAUACCAGUUUGAAUGACUAUUUGCUUGUUUUCAAAUGUUAUGCCUGAUGCAGUUAACACACCUUUCCACUUCUUGUUUUGCUUAACUAGCGUGCUUAAGCCUGCACACUGAAGCUAUCAUUUGUAGAUUCUGUUGUCUACCAUGGAUAGAUUUGGUUGAUGUUUAGCCUGUUGUGCUUAACAUGCCUUUAUAUGUACUCAUGCAGGACAAUAUUGAGAACAGUGUUGUUUUCCAUCGAGGUUAUUUUCAUCACAUUGCUUAUAUGUACUCACUAUUCAGGAUAUCGGUAGCUGGUACCAUAUAGCCUAGGGCUGAUAAGGGAUUAAUCAUCGAAUCAGACAUUUCAAUGACUAUAUUUGUAACCCAUUUAUCAGUAGGUUAACUAGGGCCAUAUUUAAUAUAUCUGAGGCUACAUAGCAACAUACAUUGUACUGAACGACUAAAUAUGCAAUCCCAGGCUACAUAGCUACAAGGAAGAGUGUUACCUUAAUGUUCGGAUGAUGUCUAGAUAUACAUGUAAUAAAAUCUUAUAUAAUGGGAUGGAGGGAGUGUUGUACUACAUCAUUUUUCAAUUGUUGUUUAGCUUCUAAUAUUAACUUGGUUCUUUUAGGUACAUAUAUCAUUGCCAAAGUUCCACACUUUGACCCUUUCUAGGGCAAUGAGAUAUUCAUGAACCAACAUCAAGUGAGGAAACUGAUAAAGAUUAUUAUUAAAAUGGGUCCAAAGACAUCAAUCGAACUAUUUGUUUACACUUUAUGCAAGACAACAGUGAACUGCAGGAUGGUAAGUAAGAACCCUGUAGCCUUCUUUUUACUGCCUGUAAUGAGUUGUGUUAGAUGACAAUGUCUGAAUCUUUUUUCCUUUGUAGUGGAUCCUGAAUCAGUUUACUCAAGAUUACCUCUCAAACUACAUGAUUGGCGGCCGGCCAUCGUAAGGGGUUGGACUAGAAUCCUGCAUGCCUUCUGCAUCUAGGGGAGCACAAUAGGGCCAUUCGGCCGCUUCACCUUGUUCAGCAACCGGAAUGUCUGUCGCCUCUUUCUUUACCAUUUGUAAUACUACAAGUAUAGAACCCUGGUUCAUCAUUCUUUAUUUGGUGCUUAUGUAAUUCUUAAACAUAUGUACCUGUGAAUCGAAUAAUGCAUUGGUUGUUUGAACCUGAUGGAUAUGAAUAAAGCUAAAGCUUACUUUCAAGUUUAAACUAGGUACAAUUUUAAAUAGAAGCAAUUAAAUUAGGGCGAAAUUAGGGUGCACAGGUCAUUACGGCACACAAGGUUAAUAAAGCACAGCGUGUGCGAUAUACAUCAUAAUGCAACACGGUUCACGGAGAGGAAACGCGUGUAACAAUGCACAUAGUUGCCGUUUGCAAAGCGUGUGUGAUGUUAGACACUAUCGCAUACGGUGCGGGAAAACUAAAUGUGUGUGAUAGUCUACCUAUCGUACACGGUUUAUAAUCAUGAACUGUUUGUGAUGUGCCAGGCAUCGUAAAACUCCCGUGCCUGGAAUCUGCCUGGAAAACUCUCGUGCCUGGAAUCUGCCUGGAUUUAUGUAAAACCACAAAACUCCGACUGCCAUGGCAAUGCGAGCACAAACGAGUAGCAAGGAUGAAGCGUUUGGGAUAUUCGAGAUAUCAGAAACGGUUAUAUAGGGACAAUUGUAUGCAUCAAGGCUCCCUAUCCCCGACGGUUUCUGGGUCGUGUGGGAAGGACCCCCCUAUCGCCCUCACUCACUAGGUGACGGUUCCAAAUGCCGUCGUGGAAAGGGGUUAAAAACCAUUUGUAUAGCACCGACACGAACUAGUGUGUCCUCUCCAUCUUCCAUUCAAAGCAGUUGCGUCGACAGCCAAAUAGGGCCCGCAACCAUCCAGAAACCCAUGCCAGCAAGCCUUGAAACAAACAAAAGCCCUCCUGAAGGUUUUCUUCUCAAAUGACUUCCCUCUUAUUUUGUAUGAAACUGUAUGCUUGUCAAUCUCUACAACACUCCCUGGACUAGCCAUCUCCACUUCAUCUUCGUAAGUGUAAAGCAACUGAAAACUCUCAUUCCAUGGACCAUUUAUCAUGUCAAGAUACAUUUCCCUACCAUAAAAAAAUCCUCAUGUAAGGUAUAUCAAUUUUGUACUUCUCAGAAAGCUUCCCAUGGUGUUGUUGGACCAAGUGUUGGUGUUUCUCUCAGCCAAUCCAAGAUUGCAUCUGCCACCCACCUAGUCUUUGCUAGCUUUGUUUUGGUCUUUCCCCCCUCCUCGUCCAGGUGGAUAACUGUGCUGGUGUGGGUUUUGUUUUAUCUGAAAGAAAAUAAAGUACAAUUAAGAAACAUUACACAAUGAUCUGAAAAUAUAAUGGAUCAAUAAACUGAAAUCCACAAUGAGGUGUAAUACCUGAAUCAAUUUGCUCUUUCACAUAUGGGAUGCAUGCAGCCUCCACCUACACCUAUCAUAUGGGCAAUAAAUAGUGAAACUUGUUGGCUCACUCCUAUCAAUAACAUAAUUAUUUCCAGUGAGAAUGCAAUAUGUAGUCACUGCUGUCGGUGUCAAAACCGGCGGAUCUUGGGUAGGGGGUCCCGAACUGUGCGUCUAAGGUCGAUGGUUGCAGGAGACGGGGGACACGAUGUUUACCCAGGUUCGGGCCCUCUCUAUGGAGGUAAUACCCUUCUUCCUGCUUGAUUGAUCUUGAUGAAUAUGAGUGUUACAAGAGUUGAUCUACCAAGAGAUCAUAAUGGCUAAACCCUAGAGGCCUAGCCUGUAUGACUAUGGUAAUGAGUAUAUCCUUUCAGGACUACGCCCUCCGGUUUAUAUAGACACCGGAGGGAUCUAGGGUUACAUAGAGUCGGUUACAUAAGAAGGAAUCUUCAUAGUUGGUCGCCUAGCUUGCCUUCCACGCCAAGGAGAGUCCAAUCCAGACACGGGUAAAGUCUUCGGUCUUCAUGUCUUCAUAGCCCACCAGUCCAGCCCAUGGAUAACAGGCCGGACGCCCGAGGACCCCUUAGUCCAGGACUCCCUCAGUAGCCCCCGAACCAGUCUUCAAUAACGAAGUGUUCGACACACAAAUUGUCUUCGGCAUUGCAAGGCGGGUUCCUCCUCCGAUGACCUCAAAGUGAUGUAUUCGGCCGUUGAUCAAUGUCGCCCCCUCGGCUUCUGCGCGUCAAAUAACUUCGUCUUCCACGUGUCCAGCGAAUGCAGAAGGUCAGGGUAUUUUUGCAAAUAGCACCCCGUCCUGGCAAGGAAGAGCGCCUAUUUAAAGAGAUUGGAUCCUAGAUCCAUUCGGCACCCCGCAGAGAAAAAUCCCCGGAGACUGCUAGGAGAAACCAUUCCAACAUGGCUAGCGUUCCCAGCUCCUCCUCCCGUUCCGGCCCAGAGAAAGGCGGGUGGGAGAGGUGUUCUGUGUCCCACAGUCAAUUGACGAAGCUGCAGACGCAGGGAUUUCUUCCUCCUGCAGAUCUAGUCCUUGUUCGAGCGGGGCUAGCUUCCUUCAAUGGUGAGACUCAUGCAGAGGGCUUCCCCAAUCCAUCCGGGGGAGAGCGGGUGUGUUUCGUCCCCUACCUGCUAAGAGGCGUCAGAUUUCCAAUCCAUCCAUUCCUCCGAGGGCUUCUGGAAUAUUAUGGCCUCCAGCCGCACAACUUCACCCCUGCCUCCAUUCUACACAUGGCAGGUUAUGUUGCCUUAUGCGAAUUAUUUCUGGGCAUCGAGGCCCAUUUUGAGCUAUGGAAGAAGUUGUUCUGUCUUGUCUCGCGCAAUCAUGAGGGGUCAAUAUUUGAAGUGGGUGGAGCCGAAGUAUGGCGUAUCGCCGAUACCGGAUAUCUGUCCGGCACACCAAGGAAGGCAUAUGAAGAAUGGCCUUCCGAAUGGUUCUACAUUGAGGACGUCGCGCUUCCCGACCUAGUUCGAAAGGGUCUUCCUGAAUUUGCGAGUGUUCCGCUGAAGAAACACCACAGUUGGUGUCCCCGGAGUCUUGAAGAGGAUGGCAACGCAGAAGUUCGUCAGCUCAUGAGCAAGAUAAAGACGCUCGCUCAGUCCGGACUCACAAUAAUCGAGGUAAUGGCAACCUCCAUAGUGCGAGGGGUUCAGCCGCUACAAUACAGAGGGCUGCCAAUGUGGCACUAUAAUGGAGAGGAUGACGCCCCCCGUUGUGGCCGGAAAUGUCAGGAUACCCCCGCCGCUCUGGCCAAGAUAUUGGCCGAGCUGUUUAAAGGGGAGGAAGAGGAAUUUCUUCGCAUUAAGCGCAGAGAUGGGUAUUCUAUGUAUGAUCCUCCUAGUUGGGUAAGCCUCAACCCUCUGUUUCACUCAUUCCACUUCCAGAUUACUUUUGAUAAAUUUCAAAUCCGUUCAUUAUAACAGCAUUGGCGAAAGGUCACCGAAGGACUUCACAGUCCCGCCCCACAGCCGGAGAACCACAACCGAGAGCUUGAUAUAUUCGUGGUGCUCACGGAGGGAGUGUUUUACCAGACGAGCUAUGAUGGCACAGAAGUGGCCAUCACCACCGACUACCCUGGCCUUCUUCCCGUUUCGCGUGUAAGUAAUCAAGAGACACCUCCUCUAAAAGAGUGCGCGUAUUCUAUCUUACCCACCGUACUGUCUUGUGCUCCAAAGAGGAGGCGUUCGGCGAUUCCGAGGAGAUCGGCUCCCACACCGGGCCAGCCUUCGAAGAGGAAGGCCGGUGAAGACACAGCCAGGCUUUCAUCGAAGAGGUACGGAUCCAUAAAUAUGUUUUUCAGCGGCCGCACCCGACUGUGACUUUGUGCGUUUGUCUAGUUCCAAGAAAAGGGUCCGCUGGACUAUGUCCGAGGGGUCCGGCCAGCUGUACUCCCAACAACCGGGAUUUAGACCCCGCCAGAGAAACGGGAGCCGGUACGGGAGCAACGCCGGACUAUCCUUUGGCCGGGGGUUCGGAAAAUAUGUCCGUUACCAACUCGGAAGUAGAGAGCGCCAUGAACCAUCGGCGCUGCAGGGCUAUUUUACGAGACCCCGAGUUCUCGGAAGAGGCAUUCAAUGCCUUCAGCUCGGCUGACGCAUACAUCCGAGCUGCUCGAAACGGGCUUAGCAGAGCCACAAAGCAGCAUUUAACAGAUGUGCAGGUAAGUUUACUGUGCCCAAAAUAUGAUAACCAUGUGCCAGUAGCCCCCGAGACUUAAAGUAGUUGGCACAACUGAUUUGAGGAUCGUUGUAUAACCAGGCUCUUACGGAGAAGAACGUCCUGUUAGCCCAAGAGCUAAAAAGGUGUCAGACUCAGCUAACUGCUGUCGCCGCCGAACUGGAGGAAUCCAAGAAGGCGUCACCUUGUAAUAUUCCCCUCCAUCGAGAAAAUAUGAUUAUAUGCCAUUAAUGCUAACAGUGUUGCCUAUACCAUGACAUAAUUGUUAGUGGAACUCAAAGAGGCGCUGGAAGUCGCGCAAGCGAAUGAACAAGAAGCCAAAAGGCUACAUGCUACGGGCGAACAUGUGCUGAAGCAGGUCAUUGUUGAGAAAAACCAACUCCAGGAUUGCAAGACCCAGCUGGGCGAAGAGCUGAAGGAUGUGCGGGCCCAGCUAGCCGAUUCCGUAAAGGAGAACAAGAAGCUGCGGGGCGGCAUAUUUAGUAUGUGUCUGAACUAUUUUUAAAGUAGUUCGGAGAUAAAUGGAACUGAUAUAGUUAUGAUUGCAGGCAUAUUGACGAGCCGUCCUGAAGAGGAGGUGUCCGGAUCAUCAAGUGAUCUGCUGCAAAGGCUGUCGCAAGUGCACGAGCAUGCUCGGCUAGCCAUGCGGAGUGUUGCCAAGGCUUUAUGGCCAUCCGCCUCCUCUCCAGGAAGUACGGAGGAGCUUGUAGAGCUAUUCAAGGGAGCGUGGCGGCGUAUCCGACUAUGGAAGAUAUCGGCCUGCCGAGAGGGUGCACGAGAGGCCUGGGCCAUGGUGAAAACGCGAUAUACCAAGAUGGAUCCUAAUCACAUGGCCGGGUUGGACCGCUAGGGUCAAAUGGGGAAGAAAUUCCCGUUAGUUUAGUAUAUGGCCAAGUAGAGGUGGCCGCCAAAUAUUCCCAACAGGAUUGUAAGUUGGACCUCCGGUUGGAUGAUAUAGAGGGGGAAGUGUUUGAGUCCAAGUGACUAUGUACUUUCCAUACCCUGUGUAAUUCUAGCUGAAUGUAUAGCAUUUGUCAUGGCAGACCUUUUUGCUUCCACCUCCGUACCCGAGGGUGUGGAGUGUUUCCGAAUACCCUCGCGGCCGAAUAGACCGGGGUAUUCCUGGAAAACUAGGCGUAGGGGUCAUAGUUGCUUGAACAGACAAGUUGUAUCCUGCUAGUUAUGUUAUAUUACAUUGAGAUCAUAAGAAACAUCUUCCAGAGAGAAUAGUUCCGUUAAGGGUUCCUUUCCCUGGGUGUGCAUGUAUUAAUGUACAUGUCCGAAUUGUGAUGGAAAAAUAACAGUGUAUGUAACUUCUGGGGGUUUGCAAUGGAGUAAAUGCAAAAACGUCUUUAAUUCACCGACCGAAUAUUCCCUUAAGAACGCUAGCUUUCCGCUUCACCCAGUCUGAGGUACACAUCCGGACGACCCGACAGUAACAAUCACAGAGGUGCUCCCUUUAUGCCCUAGCCGAACUAACGGGAACGUAGGGCAUAAGCACAGGAGCCAGGCAACCCAGCUUGGCCAAAACUUAAGUCAUAUCGAUGCAUAUAGUGCCGAAGAAAAGGUACAUAUGGAAGAACUCAUAUGUGAAGAGCUUGAUGCUCGAGGAGUAAUAAUAAAAAGCUUCUGUCCAAGAAGCCCUCAGGUAUAAUGGACAUACAUAUUUUAAAUGUGUAUGUGUCAGGGGUGCGCGGUCUAACCGUUCCAAAGCUUUAAAGCGAGAAAGGAAAAAGUAAUCGGAAAAGAGAGAGAAAAUAAUGGAAACUACAGGGGAGAAGGAGACGAACAAGGAGUUCGGCGCUAGGCAUAGAAUCUUCGGAGUCUGGCCGCGUUCCAGGGGUUCGGCUCGAGACGAUUGACUGAUGCAUCACGAAGACGGUACGCUCCUCCGGUGAGAACUUCGUCAAUUAUGAAGGGACCCUCCCAUUUGGGCUUGAGUUUUUCCUUUUUCUUCUCUGGCAGGCGUAGAACGAGUUCGCCAACGUUGUAAGUCUUGGCCCAUACUUCUCUACUUUGAUAUCUUCAAGCCUGCUAUUAGUAAAAUGCUGAGCGGGCCUUUGCGACGUCGCGCUCCUCCUCCAGGGCAUCAAGGCUGUCCUGCCGAUCUAGCUCGGUUUCUCUCUCUUCGUACAUACGCACUCGAGGUGAGUCAUGAAUAAUAUCGCAGGGCAAAACAGCCUCUGCGCCAUACACCAUGAAGAAAGGUGUGUAUCCGGUAGUACGGUUGGGCGUGGUCCGCAGCCCCCAGAGUACGGAGUCGAGCUCCUCAACCCAGUGCUUGUCUGAUUCUUUCAAAGACCGCACUAGUCUGGGCUUGAUGCCGCUCAUAAUAAGACCAUUGGCUCGUUCAACCUGACCGUUGGUUUGCGGGUGGUAGACGGAGGCGUAAUCGAGUUUAAUGCCAAGAUUAGUACACCAGGUUUUUACCUCGCUGGCCGUGAAAUUAGAGCCGUUGUCGGUGAUGAUGCUGUGUGGGACACCAUAACGGUGCACAACGCCGGAUAUGAAUUCUAUCACCGGGCCGGACUCAGCCGUUUUGACCGGUUUAGCCUCUAUCCACUUAGUGAAUUUGUCCACCAUGACCAACAAAUAUUUUUUCUUAUGGCUUCCCCCUUUAAGAGGUCCAACCAUAUCCAGUCCCCAGACCGCGAAAGGCCAAGUAAUGGGGAUAGUUUGUAAGGCAGUUGGGGGCAUGUGGCUUUGUAUGGCGAAGAGUUGGCAUCCGACGUAGCAUUGGACGAGGUCCUGCGCGUCUGUUCGGGCUGUCGGGCAAUAAAACCCAGUGCGGAAGGCCUUGCUAACAAGGGCCCGAGCUGCGGCAUGGUGUUCGCCGAGACCAGCGUGAAUUUCCGCUAAAAGCUGCCGCCCCUCUUCCUCGGAGAUACAUCUUUGAAGUACUCCUGUAGUACUUUUCUUGUAGAGCUCUCCAUCGUGAACCUUGUAGGCCUUCGAACGCCGGACAAUGCGGCGGGCCUCAUUCUGGUCUUCGGGAAGCUCCUUCCUAUUAAUGUAGGCCAAGAAGGGUUCAGUCCAUGGGGCAAUGACUGCCAUAAUGAGAUGGGCCGACGGUGUUAUUUCGGUGGCUGAGCCCCCCGGUACCGUCUGUAUGUUCGGGAUUUGAGGUUGUGUUCGGAUCUGGACUGUUGUUGCCGCCCUCCCCUUGCCAUACCACGGAUGGCUUGAAAAGCCUUUCCAGGAAAAUGUUGGGUGGGACAGGGUCGCGCUUGGCGCCGAUGCGAGCAAGGACGUCCGCUGCUUGAUUGCUUUCCUGGGCGACAUGAUGAAAUUCUAGCCCUUCGAACCGAGCCGAUAUUUUUAAGAUGACAUUACGAUAAGCUGCCAUCUUUGGAUCCUUGGCGUCAAAGUCUCCGUUUAUUUGAGAUAUUGCGAGAUUUGAAUCCCCGCGCACCUCUAGGCAUUGUAUGCCCAUGGUUACGACCAUCCAAAGACCAUGCAAUAGGGCCUCGUAUUCGGCUGCAUUGUUGGAGUCUAUGUAUAGUAUUUGGAGUACAUACUGGACGACAUCUCCAGUGGGGGAUGUUAACACGACUCCCGCUCCUAGCCCCGCCAGCAUUUUGGAGCCGUCAAAAUACAUAACCCAAUGGGAAUAUGCGUCGUACUCUUUAGGGAGUUUGGCCUCUGUCCAUUCGGCGACGAAGUCAGCCAGUACUUGGGAUUUGAUGCCUCGAUGUGGCUUGUAUGUUAUGUCAAAUGGAAGUAGCUCUAUGGCCCAUUUGGCUAUCUGUCCCAUGGCAUCGCGGUUGUUUAUUAUGUCAUUGAGCGGGACUUCAGAAGCCACCGUGAUUGAACACUCCUGGAUGUAGUGUCGUAGCUUUCGGGAUGCCAUGAAGACCGCGUAUGCUAUCUUUUGAUAAUGGGGGUACCGGGAUUUGCAUGGUGUGAGGACAGUAGAUACGUAGUAUAAUGGUUUCUGAAGUGGGAAUUUGUGUCCGUCCUGUUCUCGUUCGACGACGAGCACGGCGCUCACCACCUGAUGUGUUGCCGAUAUGUAUAGCAACAUGGGUUUGCCAGCAUUUGGUGCGGCCUGGAUUGGGUUGUUUGCUAGGAGGGCCUUUAUUUCCUCCAGUCCGGCAGUCGCCGCGUCUGUCCAUUCGAAGUUAUCGGUGCGCCGUAAGAGGCGAUAGAGUGGCAGUGCCUUUUCUCCUAAUCUGGAGAUAAAGCGGCUUAACGCUGCCACGCAACCAACUAGUUUUUGGACUUGCUUGAGGUCGGUUGGCGUGGCCAACUGUGACAAGGCUCGGAUUUUGGCUGGGUUUGCUUCUAUCCCUCUAUUGGAGAUGAUGAAGCCCAGCAGUUUUCCCGCAGGGAUGCCGAAGACACACUUUUCCGGGUUGAGUUUAAUGUCAUACGCAUGGAGGUUGUCAAAUGUAAGACGUAAGUCGUCUAUUAGUGUUUCGACGUGCUUAGUUUUGAUGACGACGUCAUUGACGUAAGCUUCUACUGUCUUGCCGAUCUGCUUUUCCGGGCAGGUUUGAAUCAUACGUUGGUAUGUGGCGCCGGCGUUCUUGAGCCCGAAGGGCAUGGUGUUGAAGUAGAAUGGCCCAUAUGGGGUAAUAAAUGCUGUUGCAGCUUGAUCGGACUCCUUCAUUUUGAUUUGAUGGUAUCCAGAAUAUGCAUCGAGGAAACACAGUGAAUCGUGUCCUGCGGUGGCGUCAAUGAUUUGAUCAAUGCGAGGGAGGGGGAAGGGAUCCUUAGGGCAAGCCUUGUUGAGGUCUUUGAAAUCGACACACAGGCGCCAGGAUUUGUCCUUCUUUGGUACCAUCACCAAGUGUGCCAGCCAGUCCGGAUGUUUGAUUUCUCUAAUGAAUCCGGCUUCGAUAAGUUUGGCCAGCUCCUCCCCCAUGGCUUGUCGCUUGGGCUCAGAAAAGCGCCGCAGUGUUUGCUUGACCGGUUUAAAUCCCUUUAAUAUAUUGAGGCUAUGUUCAGCCAGCUUGCGUGGGAUCCCUGGCAUAUCUGAAGGGUGCCAGGCAAAUAUGUCUCAGUUUUCACGCAGGAAUUCUCGUAGUGCGGCGUCAAUUGUUGGGUUCAGUUGUGCUCCGAUAGAUGCUGUCUUCUUGGGGUCCGUUGGGUGGACCUAGAAUUUGACUAUUUCUUCUGCUGUUUUUAAGGAGGUGGAUUUUGGGUGUUUGUCGAGUAUCACGUCGUCCCUAUCCACCGUGGGCGCAGUGCAGUUAACUCUUCGGCCGCGAGGGCUUCGGAUAGCGCCUCAAUGGCCAAGGAUGCGGUUUUGUUUUCAGCGUGGAGUGCUAUGUCCGGAUCACUGACGAGAGUGAUUAUACCGUUUGGUCCGGGCAUUUUGAACUUCAUAUACCCGUAAUGAGGUAUAGCUUGGAAGCGUGUAAAAGCAUCCCGCCCCAACAGGGCGUGGUAUCCGCUGUUGAAAGGGGCCACUUGGAAAGUGAUUUCUUCGGACCGAUAAUUCUCCAGCGUGCCGAAUACCACGUUAAGUGUGAUUUUGCCCGCGCACCGUGCCUCCCGGCUAGGAAUGAUUCCGCGGAAGGUUGUGCUACUUUGCUUGAUGCGGCUCCUGUCUAUUUCUAUUUUGUGGAGUGUGUCCUCGUAAAUGAGAUUUAGUCCGCUGCUGCCGUCCAUGAGGACCUUAGUAAGUCGAAACCCGUCCACGAUAGGACUGAGGACUAAUGCGGCUGGCACUCGGACUGUCCUAUACCUCGGUUCGUCACCGUCAUUAAAUGUUAUAGCUCUGUGUCGUUCCAAGGGUUUAUUGCAGCGAUUUGGCAGACUUCGGCGAGGUCGCUAAGUGCCCUUUUGCGUUUGUUGUUAGAAGCGAAUGUCUCGAAGACCCUCAAUACUCUUGUGUCGUCGUUUUCUGGAGGGUGCUGUUCUGGGGUGUCCUUGAUAAGGAUGUCCUCGCCGCUCUUGGCUACCUGCCGGAGUAUCCAACAUGCUCUAAGGCUGUGGGUUGCCACGGUAUCUGGUGCCGUGUGUAUUUUGCAUGGGCCAUCGAGCCAUCCCUCUAGAAUGGUGCCGUGCCGCGUAAUGGGCUUAUGUUUCUUGACUGUUGGACUAGGCGUGCCACGGGGGUGCGCCCUCUUCGCCUGUAGGAGGAGUUGAGUUGGGACCGACGGUUCUCAGCAAGCUGCCUGAGUUUUCCAGGUGCUUUCCAUCGUGCUGUACUUUUGUACGAUAGUUGCUAAGUCAGCGAAUUUUAGUAUGCGGCGGCGAUUGAUAGCGUUAUGGAUACCUUCGUCCGCGCAGUUGUUGCAGAACGCUGAUAUCAGGUCCUCGUCGCGGCAAUCUUUUACCUUAUCUUUGACAAGGAGGAAUCUGGCCCAGAAGUGGUGGACCGUUUCCUGAGACUGCUGUUUGAUGCUCAUGAAAGCGUCUAUGUCCGGGUGGGUGGGUGGAAUUAAAUCCGACCCUGACCCGAUCGAUUACCCGGAGUCUGAAGACCUUCCGGACUCAACAGUCCGGGUCCCGAAGUAUCUUCUGAUUGUUUAGGACUGUCGUCCGAUUCUAUGUUCGGAGGACCGGUCGCAUCCUUUCGCUAGUGGGUAUCCGGUUCUUCCAGAUCGGCGAUCCGGACAUAGUCCGUCUUUGAUAUAGAAGAGGACUCGCCAUCCUGCUCCUCGACUACCGCUAUCUGGUGGGUGACCGGUGGAGUUUUAAUCUCUCCUUGAUCGGUUUUAGGCCCGAUCCGACCGUAAUCAGUAGCGAUUCCCAAAGCCGCGAUGCGAUCUAGGAGCUCGUUCAAGGACGAAAACUCUACCGGAUCCAUCUGCUUGGAGUCUUGGAUUCCCCCCGGGUACUCUCAAUGAAAGCACCAAUGUCGGUGUCAAAACCGGCGGAUCUCGGGUAGGGGGUCCCGAACUGUGCGUCUAAGGUCGAUGGUUGCAGGAGACGGGGGACACGAUGUUUACCCAGGUUCGGGCCCUCUCUAUGGAGGUAAUACCCUACUUCCUGCUUGAUUGAUCUUGAUGAAUAUGAGUGUUACAAGAGUUGAUCUACCACGUGAUCGUAAUGGCUAAACCCUAGAGGCCUAGCCUCUAUGACUAUGGUAAUGAGUAUAUCCUUUCCGGACUACGCCCUCCGGUUUAUAUAGACACCGGAGGGAUCUAGGGUUAUAUAGAAUCGAUUACAUAAGAAGGAAUCUUCAUAGUUGGUCGCCUAGCUUUCCUUCCACGCCAAGGAGAGUCCAAUCCGGACACGGGUAAAGUCUUCGGUCUUCAUGUCUUCACAGCCCACCAGUCUAGCCCAUGGAUAACAGGCCGGACGCCCGAGGACCCCUUAGUCCAGGACUCCCUCAACUGCAUUACGACAAUCCACCAUCGAUUCGAAUAUGGUUCCUGGAGUAAGCUGAGGAUCUUCCUUGUUCCACUCAAUUGUUGGCAUGUCAUCACCAUCGUAUUCAUCUAAAACUAAGCUCUCAAUGUUCUCAUCCCUCUCUUGAUCAUCAGUGUCAUCAAAUCUAGCAUGACUGUUGGGCUCCUCCGGAUAUUCAUCUUCUAUUGCCUGUUGACUGACUGUACCUACCACUUCAGGGUAGAUCAUCUCAUACUCAUCAUCAAGUCGAGGCACUUCCUUGUCAAGCUCUGCAUCUACUUCUACAACAGCUGUAGAAGGGGCAGCAGAAGUGGCAACAGACAUGUUGUGGCUUUCAGAACCACUAGGUUUACUUGGUCUCGACCUACAAGGAAUGCCGGGGCGCUCCCUAUUAUCACAGACAUAUGAUGCAUGAACACUCUCCCACUUGUCUCGUUCUUUGCGUGGCUGAAGCACCUCGAUACAGAUUUUACCGAAACGUCUGUCAACAUUCAAACUCAAUAGCAAUUCCAGAUGCUCAUCGCAAGUUAGUGGGAGAAAUCUUUGCUCAAUACUGUUGAAAUAUUUCAGUUCAACAACAUCGACAGAGCUCCAGUUAUACACAGUACAGAGUGCAUCACGAAAAUCUUUGAACGAAAUGCUGGUUUCUACCACCUUCGGGUAGAAAAACCUAGAGAUUAUAAGCAGUUUAGUACCACACAGAACGCUAGUUUCCAUUCUAACUGCUAGCAGAAAAGCAAGCACAAGAUCAAUCCUAUUCGAUCGAAAUGAAGGGUGAAAAAUGAAACGACCCAAAUUGGUAUGAUUCAAGCGAGUAGUGGUCAAAUUAAUACUGCCUAAUUGACGAGUUUUCUCAUAAAUUCGAGGGGAAAUGAUGCUUACCCAGAUGGAAUCCAUGAAUUAUUCGCCUCCGAUUUGACCCAAUCAUCUCCACGAUCGAUAGGCCGAAGGAUGUCUAGCCACGACAUCGCUUCUUAAUCCCAGAUUGGGGGGAGGGGGUUGAUGUGGCGGAGGCGCGGCAUCGCCGACAGACGUAAUAGGGUUAGAGGGUGGAGGGCACGACGGCAGCGGCGACGGCGACGACGACGGAGGAGGCGCCACGGGAGUGGCUCGAUCUGUUUCUGACAAGCUGCUUCGACUUGUCUCCUUGCUGCCCCACUCGUCAGGAUGUAACGGUCAAAGGAGGACCCGACCCUAGCCCCACUCGUCAGCAGUUAAUGGUCAAGCCGUUGACCCGACGACAAACGCCCAGUUUGACCAUUUGUGAGAGUUUCAGACAAGUGUGUGGGGAAAAGUGAGGAAAAGUUUAGAGCGUGGGGACAACUCAGCACAAGUAAAGAACCAGGGGCACUAUCAUAAAAAAACCUAUAUAUUAAUCAACUCAUACUGUUAAUGGCAAUAGUGUAAGUCAAUUCAAUGAUGGUAGAGUCUACAAUUAUCCACCCAUCUUCCCAUUGGAACAACAACACAUCUUCCCCGGAAACUACAAUGGUAUGUUACUAGUGGCCGAUUAUAGGUUUAAAAUAAAGUAAUACAAGAACGUUAAUGUUUGAAUGCACUCUCAAGAUCGACUUGACUUUUGUGUAAUGCAUAUAUGUUACAAAUGGCCUGCGCACAUGUGUACACACAAUAGUUUCGCUUAUAUUUAUGUGUGGACACUUAUUUGUGAGCAAUGCAUAUUUGUUAGAAAAGUGGCCCGCACACAUGCACAUGCAAUGUCUUAGAACGUCUAUGAUUUUAUAAUUUAGUUUAAUUACUUAACUAUUAGAAUGAAUAUAGCCAAACACUAUAUGUCUCCAUGAAACUCCUUAUGAUUUUCUAAUUACUUUACUACUAUGGCCCUCUUGUGUAUCUUUGUUCUCAUAGGCCCAAGGGAAAAAUAUGUUAUUUUUACAAACUAGAGGGUGUUUAAAGUAUAUGAACUAUUUCACUUAAACACUUUGAACUUACAGGGUUUUCUCUAGUCCGACGAGUUACUUUUUAUCCCCACAAUUUACUUGCAAUAAAGAGGAACGAAAAGUUGAAAUUUCUACUAAUUGCCAUAAAGUAUGAACAACGAUAUUGAACACUACAAGAAAUAUGUCAACUAGUGACCUUCUGUCAGUGACCCUGGAAGAAUUGGUCAUAGAUCUAUGACCAUUUCAGACCAAUUGGUCAAAAGCUGUUCUGGGGGCUCCAAGCCCUAAACUAUAACGACCAUUUUGGUCAGAAAGGUCGUAAUUUCCUUACACGAAAUGGUCAUAAAGCAGAUAGCACUGGUCCGCUGCCUUAUUUCUAGCUGAUCACGACCAAUAUAGAUGGUCAUAACCUUGUAAAUUGUGGUGGGUUGCUAUGACUAGGCGCCACCUCAUCAGUUUUGCCUAUGUGUCAUGUCCAUGUGACAUUUUUUGCCCCAGGUUGUGAAGCAACCUAUAUUUCUGUCAUUCCCGAAAUUCCCAAAAAAAUCUCAUAAAUUCUUUGGGUCAUAUCUUCGUCAAAUAUGUAAAAAACUUCCUUUCCUAGUUCAAAAAUAAUUCAAUAAUAUUCAUUUUCCUAUUCUGUUCAGAACAACACUUUGUGAAGGAAGUACCACUUUGGCAUGUCCAAAUAGUAUCCAUUUUCUACAGUGCUUUCCUAUGCCCAAAUAACCAUCCUCCACCAAAUGCCAGCUCAAUCCAUUCAUUAUUUUGAGCCCAGCUUCAACAUUCGUAUUUAUGUCUAGUGUGGUACUUUGCAAAGCAAGUACCACCUAGGCUCCUCCUUUUGAGCUGAAAAUUUGUGAAGACGGUCUUCUUAGUAACUGAUCAUCCUCAGCCAAAACUCACGCCCAUUAGCGAUGUACAUUUCCCGUACCGCUAAUCAAACACUUGGCUGCUUCAUGUUUGAGCAUCGAUCGGUCUCCUCGUGAGAAUCUUAUGUUGUAAUUUUCUUCCUAGCACCUACCUGGGGAGUGCCCAACCCACUAGACAUGCCUAGGCCGCCCAGAACACAUGGCAACGCCACGGUCAUGCGGUGACCACGCGGCGGGCAUGCGAGUUUACGCGCUCUAGAGUUGGGGCCCUCGACCACCGCCCAAACCUCGACGUAUCGCCACCAAACCAUGUAUUUAUGAUUAAAUAGGUACUUAUGUAACUAGAAAUGACUUUUGGAAAAAAUAAAUAGCAAACUAUGAGGCAGCUGCAGUUCAAAUUUGACCCGCUUCCAACUGAAUCGGCGGAAAUUUGUCUUUUUCACGAGAGGCGGAUCAAAACUUUUUACACCCAACCAUUUUGUCAAUUGUGCAUUAAAUAUGUCCUAGUAUUUUAUGAAAUUGAUUUGGUCCAAUUUUGCAACAAUUAUUUGGGAGGUCCUUCACAAAAAAACCUCCUUUUGGGCACUCGAAAAAUGGAAAAUGGUUUUUUCGUCCAAAGAAAAUGAAAACUUCCUUAGGCAACAUUGUUUGCCAUUCCAAUAUGCACCCUUUUGCACAAUAUGAGAUCAUUUGAACAAACUAUGCCAUGAAUGUGGCCAUAAGAUUGAUCAUUUGGCUUGAAAGCCAUUGAUCUCCACACGCGAUAGCUCGUUUCUGAGAACACUUUUUCAAAAUAAUUUCCGUAUUACAAGUUUGUUAUUUUUCCUCGGAACUUGGCCACAUAUAAUGACACAAUGCGAAGGUUUCCCAAUAUUUUGAAUUUUUUUGAAUUUUUUAUGCGUGUUUCAAAAUGCGGUCAAAACGGCGGGAAUGACCGUUCCUAGCUAGUGGUUGAAUCUUGGAAUUUUUUUUGGUGUUUCUCCGAUUAAAUAGAUACUUAUGUACCUAGAAAUGAUUUUUGGAAAAAAUAAAUAGCAAACUACAAGGCAGCUACAGUUCAAAUUUGACCCGCUUCCAGCUGAAUCGGCGGAAAUUGGUCUUUUUCACGAGAGGUGGAUACACCCAACCAUUUGGUCAAUUGUGCAUUAAAUAUGGCCUAGUAUUUUAGAAAAAUGAUUUGGUCCAAUUUUGCAACAAUUAUUUGGGAGGUCCUUCACAAAAAACCUCCUUUUGGGCACUCGAAAAAUGGAAAAUGGUUUUUUUGUCCAAAGAAAAUGAAAACUUCCUUAGGCAACAUUGUUUGCCAUUCCAAUAUGCACCCUUGUGCACAAUAUGAGAUCAUUUGAACAAACUAUGCCAUGAAUGUGGCCAUAAGAUUGAUCAUUUGGCUUGAAAGCCAUUGAUCUCCACACGCGAUAGCUCGUUUCUGAGAACACCUUUUUAAAAUAAUUGCCGUAUUACAAGUUUAUUAUUUUUCCUGGGAACUUGGCCACAUAUAAUGACACAAUGCGAAGGUUUCCUAAUUUUUUGUUUUUUUUGAAUUUUUUAUGCCCAUUUCGAAAUGCGGUCAAAACGGUGGGCUUGACCGUUCCUAGCUAGUGGUUGAAUCUUGGAUAUUUUUGUGUUUCUCUGAUUAAAUAGAUACUUAUGUACCUAGAAAUGAUUUUUGGAAAAAAUAAAGAGCAAACUAUGAGGCAGCUAUAGUUCAAAUUUGACCCGCUUCCUACUGAAUCGGAGGGAAUUUGUCUUUUUCACCAGAGGUGGAUCAAGGAUUUUGACACCCAACCAUUUGGUCAAUUAUACAUGAAAUGUGACCUAAUAAUUUAGAAAAUUGAUUUGGUCCAAUUUUGCAACAAAUAUAUAGUAGGUCCUUCAUAAAAAAAGCUCACUUUGGGCACUCAGAAAAUGGAAAAUUAUUAUUUGUGCAAGGAACAUGAAAGCCCCCCAAACCAACAUUGUUUUUCAUCCCAAGAUACACACAUGUGCACAAUAUUGACUCAUUUUAACAAAGUAUAAAAGGGUGCCAUGUUAAAUGUUUAUCCGGAAUAGGAGGUUAAAAAAACAAUACUACAUAAGCUUCAUUCUGAUUGGUGCAAUCAGUCAUGGCAUGGAUUGAUGACAUGGCAAACAUCUGUCCAUCCAUACAUCAUCCAUCCGUCCGUCGAUCCAUCCAACCAACCGCAGCAAACCCCCUCCUCUCUCUCUCUCUCUCUCUCUUGCNNNNNNNNNNNNNNNNNNNNNNNNNNNNNNNNNNNNNNNNNNNNNNNNNNNNNNNNNNNNNNNNNNNNNNNNNNNNNNNNNNNNNNNNNNNNNNNNNNNNNNNNNNNNNNNNNNNNNNNNNNNNNNNNNNNNNNNNNNNNNNNNNNNNNNNNNNNNNNNNNNNNNNNNNNNNNNNNNNNNNNNNNNNNNNNNNNNNNNNNNNNNNNNNNNNNNNNNNNNNNNNNNNNNNNNNNNNNNNNNNNNNNNNNNNNNNNNNNNNNNNNNNNNNNNNNNNNNNNNNNNNNNNNNNNNNNNNNNNNNNCUCUCUCUCUCUCUCUCUCUCUCUCUCUCUCACCGAACCCUAGCGCUCCACCCCACACUGCCUGCCGCCACCUCCGGCGACCUCAGGUGGGAAUCGACGACCGGCGAGAUCCAUGCGCGCGCGGCGAGAUCCAUCUCUCUCUCACACGAGAGGGAAAAUCCCCACGACUCCUCCUCCUCCUCCUCUCUGGAUCGAUCCCCUCCAACCUACCUCUUACCCCUCUCUGGAUCGAUCCCCUCCAACCCAGCCGCCGCCGCCGCCGCAGACCUCCCCCAACCCCGGCCUCCUCCACCGCCGGCGACCCCUUCUCUUCCUCCCCCAACUCAGCCACCUCCAGCAGCAGAUCCAUGCAGGACAGAUCUGAGCUCCACUACCUCCGUUGCUCCCUUUCCCCCCGACCAGAUCUUCCUCUUGCGUUCUGGCACCUUGCCGGCGUGGCUCCGGCAUUGCUCCGGUGACUUAGGUGAGUCCCUCCAUUUGUGCUCGUCACAUAUCUCCCUCCCUCUCUUCCUCACCUCAUCUUGUCUCCCUUGCAGAUCCAACACGCCAUCGUUGCUCGAGCACCGGGACGCCAUCGACGGGAAGUCUUCCUCCUCACCUCAUCUUGUCUCCCUCACAUGAACGAUGCAGCUUCACCACUACCCUGACGCCAUCAAGGUCAGACCCCAAUCAUCUCCUCUCCUUUUCAUUUUCUUCUUCCCCUUACCUUCCAUUCCCCUCCCGAUGUGCAGGAGCAGCUGCACGCCUGCAAGGCUGCAACAUCACCAACUCGACUUGGAUGCAGGGAGAGGAGACGCCCAACCAUGGGCAGCUCUACGUCGGCAUCUGCCUUUGUAGCUUUGCCUAGGGUUAGCUGAAUGCUCAAGACAUGGGUAGUUCUGGGAGAUGGUGAUUAGGGACUGUUUUACAACACAUCAUCCUCUGUUUUUACACAUAGUUGUAGAAGAAAAUACUUUUACUUAUUGCAAGUCACGACUGUCAUGCGUAUGUUAUGAAUUCAGAAACUAUAACAUGUUUUUUUUGCCAUGGUGAAGGAGUAAACUGAACAAUUAAGUUGCUAGUUCAGUAUGUGAGUUGCAUCAUACUGUACAACACAUCAUCCUCUGUUUUUUGAAUUUACUGUUCAUAGAGGGUGUAGGGCACCCGGGAGCUAAAAAACCACUCUCAUAAGACAUGCCAAGGUUGGACGCACGUAGAUGCCCUCAAGUCUAGAAAGACACUGACUGAUGACCCCACUAUGGCAAGUAGAUGGUCUCCUACGCCUUUUUAGUCAAGUGAUUUCUAUUUUCAUGUCCCUCAUCGCUUAGUCCUCCUCAGUUUUGCCCAGGCUUUUUCGCAAUCCUCACUUUUCCCCUCCACCGCUCGGUCCACCCUCACAAAAGCCCAAACGGGAGUUUGUCGUCGGGUCAAAGUCUUUGAUCAUUACUGGGUGUGGUUACUGAUGCAUGGGACACCCCUGUCAGUGGUUGCCCGCUCGUAGAUGGUGGGAGGAUCACUACUGGGAAAAGCCCUAUAGGUGAACUAUAAAUAGUGGCGGGCAGGACAUGUCACCCGUCACUGCUACUUUUCCAAAAGUGCAUUGACGGGUACCUGGACUAGCCCGUCACAGUUACGGGCAUGCCUAUGGCGGGCGCUGGCCAGCAACCGCCACAGCUAUCCCCUUCCAAAUAUGCCCGCUGGCUGGAAACUGUAGUUGCGAGCGCUGACCUAGUACCUAGCACUGGCUUGUGGGUAAUCUGUGGCAGGCGUUGCUAGGCGCCCGCUACAACCAUAUUUUGUCAAGCGCACCAAAUAAAUCAAAAUUUGGAAAUGUUUGUUGUACAGGUGUCUGUGCUUGCCCACCAUUGCUCUUGACGGUCAGUUCUCCUUCCACGCCUGCCCAACAACCAUCCACAAAACUUUCAUUUCCAUCGUUUCAUCUUUCUCUCUACCAUUUCCGCUCCCUCGUUCCCUUCCUCGUUGUCUUGCGCCUCGACCGCCACCCUCGUCCCUCCAACCAGCCGGCGACGCCUUCCACGCGUCCGACAUCGUGAGCGAUGCCGGAUCUGCUCGCCUUUGUGUCGUCCACCUCGAUCUCCACCGCGCUGUUCUCUGUCUCGACUGCUUGCAACCCCCAUCCUCCGCCUAACCGCCACCACCAUCCUUCCCCUCGACCACCGCCCUCGACCGCGGCCAGAAAAGCGACCAACGGUAUACUACAUCUCCGUGACUAAAUUACGCUUUAGGGUUCAGAAUUUGCAUCUUAUUAAUUUGUAGAUCAACUAGUUGUACAUUAGAUAAGAGAGCGAGCAGCACGCCGGCAGGAGUAGUACUAAAUAAUUGAAAUAGCUCUUUUUCAUAUCGGUAGGUGUCUGAAUAUUUGGAACAUUGCUAAAUAUGACAAGCAUCGAUUGUGUUUAAAUUUUCUCACAUAUGAGAAGUGCAUGGGCUUAUAGUUAUUCACAAGGAUUUGAAAAGGAGUGACAAAGUCUUUACGUAAUGUUGAUUCAUUUUCGUUUCGCCAAGUUUCUGUCAUUCCAUACGUCAACUUUGUAAGCAAAGUUCAUGCCGAAUUUCAUUUGCUAUGACAAUAUUGUUUACUUUGCUUACAUAUGACAAGUGCAUGGGUUUGGCAUCAACAUUGCUAAAUAUGACAAGUGGCAAUGAUGUUUGAAUUUCUUACAUAUGAGAAGUGCAUGGGUUUCAUGUUAUUCACAAGGAUUUGAAAAAGAGUGACAAUGUUUUUGCGAAACGUUGAUUCAUUUCCAUUUCGCCACAUUUCUGUCACUCCAUACGUCAACUUUGUAAGGAAAGUUCAUGUCGAAUUUCAUUUGCUAUGACAAUAUUUUGUAAUUUGCUUACAUAUGACAAGCACAUGGGUUUAGCAUCAACAUUGCUAAAUAUGAAAAGUGGCAAUGAUGUUUGAAUUUCUUAAAUAUGAGAAGUGCAUGGGCUUCAAGUUAUUCACAAGUAUUUGAAAAAGAGUGACAAAGUUUUUGCGGAACGUUGAUUCAUUUCUGUUUGGCCAGAUUUAUGUCACUCCAUACGUCAACUUUGUAAGCAAAGUUCAUGCCGAAUUUCAUUUGCUAUCACAAUAUUGUUUAGCUUUCUAAGCAAAGUCAUGCGGAAUUUAGAUAUGACAAGUGCAUGGGUUUUGAAAAUGACGGCCAAUGUUUUGAUGAAACAUUGAUUAACUUCCGUUUCAUCAAACUUCUGGUAGUCAAAAUAUGUUCAAUAUUCAGCAAAGGUCAUGCCAAAUUUUCUCUAACCCUUCUUAGUUACUUCCUCCUCUCAAAAUUACUAUUAAUAAGUUUUUUAUAAUGAUUAUUACGGAUCAUGAGGUGUAAGAUCAGCCAUAUCUACAAAUGUCCAUGUAUGGACAGUGUGGAUAUUGCAGUAGAUUUCAGACUCUUCUUGACGAACGGAUUUCAACUUAAUAUUGUAUGAACUUACAAUGUCAGUCUCUUAGAGUUGUUUUUGCAACCUAAUAUUGUUGUAAAAUCCUUUCCUUGAGCUGCGGUUGAUGUGGUGGUCUGCUAUUGUGGAUGAUGCGUGCAGGGGCUGCUGGAGAACACGGAGAAGGACAGGGUCCGGAGGCUGAUAGGUUCAAGCCUCCCGUGGAGCCAUGAUUUUCCCAGUUGAUGGAUCUUUCCUGUGCACGCUGGCAUCCAGGUCGGCAACGCGUGCUGGGAACUUUACUGCCUCGAGCACGGCAUCCAGGUUCGUCAUACCCCAUCUCCCGCCUCUCGCCCCUUCUCAUGUCGACUCGUAUGCGGUUUCUCGGAUUUGUUGAUUGGUUGGAGAGGGUUUCCCGUCGUGGAUCUUCUCUGGUUUGGAAUAUUUAGGCUGUAAUUGAUGCGCGAUUUGAGCUGUGAUGGGAUUACUCGAUUACCUUUCCGUGUAGGUCUAGUUGUUUUCACGUGAGGAUGCGGCAAUUAGUGUUCGAUCCGCGCGACCCUUCUGAAUUGCUCAGGAACAUGAACUGUUCGUAGUCCCUAAUUUAAGCCUCCGACCUGUGAUGUUUAGUCAUUUCGUUUUGUAUUUUAGAUCUGAUAUGCAAUUGGAUUCCUAGGAUCGUAUUUUUCAGGAGAAAUGAAUACACUUCUGCACUAGUUUAGUUGUCACUUUUGUGUGAAAUAUCAGAUCUACUUAGGCCAUUAUCAUGCUUUCCACGGUCAGUUUUGAUGUGUUCUGAAAUUAUGAUCUGCAUCCAACUAAACACCUCAUUGUUCCCUGCUGUAGCUUGAUGGCCAGACGAACGGUGAGAAGACCAUCCGGUGAUUCGCUGCUUGCAAACAACAGCUAGUAAAUCGGUCACCGUGGGGGCGGGGACAUGAGAUUCAGAGAAGAGAUGCUGCUGCCUGCCUAUACUAGUUCACAUGUGUCCAGCCGCCUAGAUCUACCAUACUCACCUCGUUUCACUGUGCUACAAGUAGUUCCUAGGCCAUUAGCUCCUGCUUGCUUUUUUGCUGCACAAUGCUUAUUUUGCUGCUAGUGUCCAUUUAGCAGUUUUUUUACUAUGUUUUGGCCUAGUUUUGUUCACAUGUAUAAUAAGCAUCCUGAAUGCUCAUUUAGCAGUGUAUUAAUAACACUGCUAGUUUUGUUCACGUGUAUUCAGAUUAAUACACUGUGUUGUUAAACUGCACAAUGCUCAUCCCGUUGGCUACUUGUCGAUGUUCUCCGCAUAACUAUAGGCUGCCAUGUCUUUCCACUUUCCUGUUCACUUUCAGUAAUGCUAACUUGACAGUAACCCUAUAGUUUGUUAAUUGGCUGUUGCAACCUAGCAGCGGCGCUUCCAUUUUAACGCAUGUACUAGUGUGCUAAAACUUGUAAAAGACACAAAUCUUGAGCUUUCUUUAUCGGCUAGUUGCUGCUGCUCCUUGUGUACAAUGAUUGAUGUUGCUCUAGUUAGUGUUGUAGAGGAAGAAAGAGGAUGUAUUUAUAUUACUUGCUUCUGCUGCUUAUAUAUAGACAUGUAUGUAUGUUUACUUCAUUUCUUCCUUGUCUCUCUGAUCCCCUCCUAAUGAAUUUGUUUGUUUGAUUUGGAUUAGCAGGCUCGUCCCUGGACCAGAUGUUCAAGUACAGCCCCAUCCACCGCAUCGACCUGGAGUCAGGUAUGUACUCGUCUUGUUGAACAAAUCGGACAGAUGCUUCAUGGCCUAAUGCUUGAUGCUAAGCGUUAAUACAUGGAUCUGUAGCGGUCCAAAUGAAGAGCGUGAUUUGAUUUGUUUGGGUUUGAAUUGAUCGUGUGCGUGUGUGUGUGUCUACAGGGGAGCAUGCUUAAGUUACUACUGUACUGUUCUUUUAUGUCCUGCUACAGUUUGACACUAUUAACUAGGCUUGCUGGACAUGUCAUGGUACAAGCCUUUGUCUUUUCUAGCAUCAACAAAUGUUUAUCUACUGUAAAGUACUAUUAAUUAGGAUACAACAGUAACUAUAACAGCAGUAACUGUUUGGAGAAAUGACUCCAAACAGAGUUGCAUAAUUACCAAUGAUACAUUUUUUUCUAAUUUUUGCAUGAGAGCAAACUGGUGUAGCUAGCUGGACUAUGCAGCCAUGAAUCAGGAAGUAGCAUAUUCAGAUUUGCUAAUAGAAAAAAAUGUAUUAAAAACUUUAAAUUUGUCUGUUAGAGAUAGCAGUAUCGAUUGUACCUGUUAAACAAGCAUCAAUUCUUCCUGGAAUGUUUGUCUAUCAACUAGUAUGAUGGCAUAUUAACAUCUUUCUCAGGGUGCUAGAGUCACAUACUCUUGGGUUCCAUGUUAAAACAAACUAAUGGCUAUAUAUCUUAGUAAUAUUAAACAAAGCUAUAUGGCUGUUGAUGAUAUAUCUUAGUAAUUUUAGUUUUGGAUGUGUCCAAUGCAAACAUUACUAUCAACUGUCAAGUUGAUUCUAAAAUGUCUCAUGAACUUCAUUAUUCUGUUAUUUAUUGUUAAAUAUGCUGUUAGAUCUACUUCUAUUUUGUUCCUAAAUAUUUUGUUUUGUAACGUGCAGAUGCUGGGCUUUGAUGUUUCUUCGUGAGCAUUAGUACAAAGAAGUCGGAGGAAGAAUAGUUCUAGCUCAUUGGAGCUAGUUUUGAGAGUAAUGGAGUCCUUUAUGCUGCUCCUAUUUGUAUGUGUGUUAUAUGAUGUAGCAGAAUCUGGCUCAUGUGAUUGUACACUUGUGGAGCUUGUUAUUUGAUUGUAAACUUGAUGCUGAUCACAUUUGUAUGUGUGUUAUAUGAUGUAGCACUUUGAUGGUUGAUAACAUUUGAAGUAUUUCAUGUGUUCUGUGUGCCAAUUUAAAUACUAGGUAUUUAAAUUGAAGAAUAUUGCACCGACGGCUAGGACCUAGUACUAGAACCUGACAAUGGUGACCCACCUGACUAGUGAACCCACUCUAUAAAAAAGAAAAAAAAAUGAAAUUGUUGAGACAAAAAGGCCAUGGCCCAAAAAUAAAAAGACUACAACAUUGGGCUUGAUCCAUGAAGCUGACAAAAAAUUCAUAGGAAAAAAAUAUAAAUGGGCUGAAUUAAUGGGCUCGGCCCAUAUAAACACCGAAUUGGACCGGGCUGAUUCUUGUGCCACAUCAGCUUGCCACGCUGGAUGCCUAUGUGGUCUGGGGAGGCUGCUAGUGACCAAAAUUUUGGUCGAAGAACCAACGACCUUUUACAGAAGGUCGUUAAUUUCAGUUUACGACCGCCAGCUUUUGACCUUCUGUUUUUGGUCAAAAAAGGUCGCAAAUGAAAAGCAAUGACCUUUCAGCGGCCAAUAGUGAGGGUCACAAGUUGACAUAUUUCUUGUAGUGGAAUUUAGUAAAAGUAUAUCAAAACAAUUACACGUAAAUAUAACAAUUUUAAUGUUUGGAACGCAAAGGUAACCUUAACUAUAUGAUCAUGUUAUGUUGGAUAACUGAUAAUAUAUUUUGUUACAAAGAAUACUUGUAGUGUAAACACUUGAUAUGGAACUAAAAAAUAUUCUACCAGGGUAUAAUAAUGAUCAGUAGAUUCUGAUAAGUAACAGAUCCAAUGUAUAUCCAAAUUCUGCAUUCAUACGAUUAAGUGACAUCUUUUAGUAGAAGUAAAUUGAAUCUCCAUGUAAUAUAUAUUAACCCACUCAUAUUGUUAAUGGCAUUAUUGUAAGCCAAUUCAGUGAAGGCAGAGUCUACAAUUGUCCACCCUUCUUCCCAUUGGAACAACAACACAUCUUCCCCGGAAACUACAAUAGUAUGUUACUAGUGGCUGAUUAUAGGUUUAAGAUAAAGUAAUACAAGAAUGUUAACGCUUGCAUGCACUCUCAAGGUCGACUUGAAUUUUGUGUAAUGCAUAUAUGCUAGCAAAGUGGCCCGCGCACAUGUGUAAACACAAUAGUUUUGCUUAUAUUUAUGUGUUGUACACUAGUUUGUGAGCAAUGGAUAUAUGUUAGCAAAGUGGCCCGCACGCAUGCACAUGCAAUGUCUUAGAACUUCUAUGAUUUUAGAAUUUGAAAUUACUUUAAUUACUUAACUAUUAGAAUGAAGAUAUCCCAAUGCUAUAUGUCUCCAUGAAACUCCUUAUUUUAUUUUCUAAUUACUUGUCUAAUACGGCCCACUUCUAUAUCUUUGUUCUCAUAGGCCCAAGGGAAAAUAUGUUGUAGUAUAUGAACUAUUUCACUUAGACACUGUGAACUUACAGGGUAGUCCAACGUGUUUCUUUUUAUCCCCACAAUUUACUUGCCAUAAAGAGGAACGAAAAGUUGUAAUUUCUACUAAUUUCCAUAAAGUAUGAACAAAGAUAUUGAAUUUAGUAAAAGUAUAUAAAGACAAUUUAACAUAAAUAUAACAAUUAUAAUGUUUGGAACGUAAAGGUAACCCUAACUAUAUGAUGAUGUAAAGUUGGAUAACUAAUAAUAUGUUUAGUUACAAAGAGUACUUGUAGUGUAAACACUUGAUAUGGAACUAGCCAAUAUUCAACCAGGGUAUAAUGAUGGUCAGUAGAUUCAGAUAAGUAACAAAUCCAAUGUAUAUCCAAAUUGUGCAUUCAUAUGAUUAACUGACAUCUUUUGGUAGAAGCAAAUUGAAUCUCCAUGUAAUAUAUAUUAACCAACUCAUACUGUUAAUGGCAUUACUGUAAGCCAAUUCAGUGAAGGCAGAGUCUACAAUUGUCCACCCUUCUUCCCAUUGGAACAACAACACAUCUUCCCCCAAAACUACAAUAAUAUGUUACUAGUGGCUGAUUAUAGGUUUAAGAUAAAGUAAUACGAGAAUGUUAAUGUUUGCAUGCACUCUCAAGGUCGACUUGACUUUUGUGUAAUGCAUAUAUGUUAGCAAAGUGGCCCGCGCACAUGUGUUCACACAAUAGUUUCACUUAUAUUUAUGUGUUUGUACACUUGUUUGUGAGCAAUGGAUAUAUGUUAGCAAAGUGGCCCGCACACAUGCACAAGCAAUGUCUUAGAACAUCUAUGAUUUUAUAAUUUGAAAUUACCUUAAUUAUUUAACUAUUAGAAUGAAGAUAGCCCAACGCUAUAUGUCUGCAUGAAACUCCUUAUUUUAUUUUCUAAUUACUUGACUAAUAUGGCCCACUUAUGUAUGUGAUGGAAAAGACCCAACCAUAAGCUUAGCAACAGAUUGUAUCGCUUAGUUAUUUGCUAUAGCUUUCUUCAUGUCAAGUAUAUGUUCCUUAGACCAUGAGAUCAUGUCGCUCACGAACACCGGAGAAAUACCUUUUGUGCUAUCAAACAUCACUUCAUAACUGGGUGAUUAUAAAGGUGCUCUAAAGGUAUCUCUGAAGGUGGCUGGUUGGCACCGAGUAAUAAUUGAAUACCUUUUUUGCUGGUAGGGUAAUUACUGAAUAUACUGCGCGUUCUUUUUUUCUAUGUCUAAGACUGCGUGUUAUUCUUUGCUUCUACGUAGAGUCAGGUUCAACAAACUCCAAUCGCUUCAAAAGAACUCUUAUCUCUUUCUCUAAUCAGCUCCAUAACUCUAAUCAACCUCAGUUUGAGCUCUUGGUUCGGUAAAAAAAAGAGCUUUAAUGUGAAUUGCUACAAUUACGUCGGUGUUGCGACAUUUUUCUCUGGCGACUCUACUAAAAUUCACUUGACAAUCCUUCAAAUAUUAUCUGCCGUGACUUCGUAAAAAAUUCACUUGACGGAGGUAACCCUAACUAUAAGAUCUUGUAAAAUUGGAUUAGUGAUAAUAUGUUUUGUUACAAAGAGUACUUGUAGUGUAAACACUUUGAUAUGGAACUAACAAAUAUUCAACCAGGGUAUAAUAAUGAUCGGUAGAUUCUGAUAAGUAACAAAUCCAAUGUAUAUCCAAAUUCAAUAUUCAUACGAUUAACUGACAUCUUUUGGUAGAAGAAAAUUAAAUCGCCAUAUAAUAUAUACAUUAAUCAACUCAUACUGCUAAUGGCAUUAGUGUAAGCAUAUUCAAUGAAGGCAGAGUCUACAUUUGUCGACCCAUCUAACCAAUGGAACAAAAACACAUCUUCACCGGAAACUGCAAUGGUAUGUUACUAGUGGCUGAUUAUAGGUUUAAAAUAAAGUAAUACGAGAACUUUAACAUUUGCGUGCACUCUCAAUAUCGACUUGACUUUUGUGUAAUGCAUAUAUGUUAGCAAAGUGGCCCGCGCACAUGUGUACACACAAUAGUUUCACUUAUAUUUAUGUGUGGUACACUUGUUUGUAAGCAAUGCAUAUAUGUUAGCAAAGUGGCCCGCACACAUGCACAUGCAAUAUCUUAGAACAUCGAUGAUUUUAUAAUUUGAAAUUAUUUUAAUUAUUUAACUAUUAGAAUGAAGAUAGCCAAACGUUAUAUGUCUUCAUGAAACUCCUUAUUUGAUUUUCGAAUUACUUUACUACUGUGGCCCACUUGUGUAUCUUUGUUCUCAUAGGCCCAAGGGAAAAAUAUGUUAUUUUUACAAACUGGAGAGAGUUUAAAGUAUAUGAACUAUUUCACUUAAACACUGUGAACUUAGAGGGCUUUCUCUAGUCCAACGAGUUUAUUUUUUCCCCACAAUUUACUUGCCAUAAAAAGGAACGAAAAGUUGAAAUUUCUACUAAUUGCCAUAAAGUAUGAACAAAGAUAUUGAAUUCAGUAAAAUUCUAUCAAUAAACUUUCACAUAAAUAUAACAAUUAAAAUGUUUGGAACACAAAGGUAACCCUAACUAUAAGAUCAUGUAAAGUUGCAUAACUGAUAAUAUGUUUUGUUACAAAGAUUAUUUGUAGUGUAAACAAUUUGAUAUGGAACUAACAAAUAUUCAACCAGGGUAUAAAAAUGAUGAGUAUAUUCUGAUAAGUAACAAAUCCAUUGUAUAUCCAAAUUCAACGUUCGUACGAUUAAGUGACAUGUUUUGGUAGAAGCAAGUUAAAUCUCCAUGUAAUAUAUAUUAAUGAACUCAUACUGUUGGCAUUAGUGCAAUUAAGGCAGAGUCCACAAUUGUACACCUAUCUUCCCAUUAGAACAACAACACAUCUUUCCCGGAAACUUCAAUAGUAUAUUAAUCGUGGCUGAUUAUAUGUUUAAAACAAAUUAAUAUGAGAACAUUAAUGCUUGCACACACUCUAAAGAUCAACUCGACUUUUGUGCAAUGCUUAUAUGAUAGCAAAGUGGCCCGCACACAUGUGUACACAUAACCAUUUUGCUUACUUUCGUGUGUGGUUCAAUUGUUUGUAAGCAAUGGAUAUAUGUUAGCAAAGUGGCCUACCCACAUGCACAGGCAAUGUCUUAGAACGCCUAUUCUAUACCUACUAAUAAAGCAAGGUGCGUUUCGCCAAUUUUUUCAUCUGUUUGCCAUCGCAAUUUUUUUCCCUAUUCAAGGUGGUAUUAAAUUCUUAUGCUUUUGUCUGCUAGAAAAGAAUUUACAUAAGUGGGCCACACGCUGUGGCCCAGGGAAGCCAGCCCACUUGUUUUCUGACCACCCAGCUGGAAAAAUUCUAUUUUCCGGUUUGGGCGACAAAUAGUUGGAGUUUCGUACAGGACGGCCAACAAUGGGCUGGCCCAUUUUUCUUCUUUUCUGUGUUUUAGAUCUAUUAUCAUUCUCCUUUCCCUAUCUCUUUUUUCCCUUCCAAUUUUUUUUUCUAGAGUUAAAUUCGUAAUUUUUUUUAAAAUGUUCAAAAAAAAAAUCAAAUUUAGGAAAAUGUUCGGAGUUCCCAAAUUUUGUUGCUACUUUGAAACAUAUUCGGAACUUGCAAUAAGUUUCCCUUUUUCCAAAAAACUAUUGUUUUCAAAAUUGCUAAAGAUCUCAAAAAAGAAAAUGGCAUUUCAAAAAUUGCUCCAUAUUCGAAAAAUAUUCUUGUUUUAGUGAAAUUUUCAAAUAAAAAAAUAAAAUUAAUGUAUAAAAGAUACACAUUUUGUAAAAAUCUUAUGAGUUUUCAACACAUGUUCUCGUCUUAAAAAAAUAUUCACAAAUUCAAAUAAUGAACAUGUUUUUAUAAAAAAAGUUGGUUUUUUCAGAAAAAAUUUGUGAAUUUUAAAAGAUAUUCCCUUUCAUAUUUUGUUUGCGUUUUUUCGAGAGUGUACAUAAUUUUAAAAAAUUUGUUCAGGGUUUAGUUUUUUCAUCUUUCCUAGAAUACUCAGAAACUUCAUACCUUAAAAUCCCAUCGAUUGAAACGAUUGAACGGAAGAGUAGAUUGAAUAACUCAUGUGCCUUCUCCGGCGUACGAUUACGUAACAAAAUUCUUAAAUGCCCUCGAUCAAUGGAUGGAAAAAUAGCGGAUUGAUUUCUUCACACAUGGCGAAACCGAGAAGCUAAAUGUUCUUGUUUCGUGUGCACACAGUAUUUUGCUUCCACAUAUAAUUCUCACUUGUCUAAAAUACAUACUAUUUUAUCUCUCGUUGCAACGCACGGGCAUAUGUGCUAGUAUUUUAUAAUUUGAAAUUAGUUUAGUUAUAUAUCUGUUGGAAUGAAGAAAGCCCAAUGCUAUAUGUGUCUCCAUGGAACUCCUUAUUUGAUUUUUUAAUUACUUGAAUAAUAUGGCCCACUUGUGUAUCUUUGCUCUCAUGGGCCAAAGGAAAAAAUAUGUUCCUUUUACAAACAUGAGGGGGUUCAAAGUAUAUGAACUAUGUCAGUUAAACACUGCCAACUUACACGAUUUUCUCUAGUCCAACGAGGUUUUAUUUGCUCCCCACAAUUUACCUGCCAUAAAGAGGAACGACAGGUUGAAGCUCUACUAAUUGCCAUAAAGUAUGAACUAAAAUAUUGAAUUUACUAAAUGUAUAUCAACACAAUUUAACAUCAAUAUAACAACUAAAAUGUUUGGAACACAGAGGUAACCCUAACUACACGAUCAUGUAAAGUUGGACAAUUAAUAAUAAUUUUAUUAGAGAAUGUACUUGUAGUGUAAACACUUUGAUAUGGAACUAACAAAUAUUCAACCAUGGUAUAAUAAUGAUUAGGAGAUUCUGAUAAGUAGUAAAUCCAAUGUAUAUCCACAUUCAGCAUUCAUACGAUUAUCUGACAUCUUUUGGUAGAAUACAAUAAAAUCACCAUGUAAUAUAUGUUAAUCAACUCAUACUAUUAAUGGCAUUAGUGUAAGCCAAUUCAAUGAAGGCGGAGUCCACAGGUGUCCACCCAUCUUCCCAUUGGAACAACAACACAUCUUCCCUGGAAACUACAAUGAAAACUUACUAGUGGUUGAUUGUAUAUUUCAAAUAAAGUAAUACGAGAACGUUAACGCUUGCAUGCACUCUGAAUAUCAACUUGACUUUCGUGAAAUGCAUAUAUGUUAGCAAAGUGGCCCGCGCACAUGCGAACACACAAUCAUUUAGCUUACAUUUAUCUAUGGUACACUUGUUUGUGAUCAAUGCAUGUUAGCAAAGCGGCCCGCACACAUGCACAUACAAUGCCUUAGAACGUCUAUGAUUUUAUAAUUUGAAAUUAGUUUAAUUAUUUAACUAUUAGAAUGAAGAUAGCCCAACGCUAUGUGUGUGUCAAUGAAACUCCUUAUUUUAUUUUCUAAUUAUUUGACUAAUAUGGCCCAUUUGUGUAUCUUUGUUCUCGUAGGCCCAAGGGAAAACUACGUUAUUUUUUACAAAAUGGAGGGGUUUAAAUUUUAUGAACUAUGUCACUUAAAUGCUAUGACCUUAUGGGGUUUUCUCUAGUCCGACGAGGCUUUUUUGCUCCCCAUAGUUUACUUGCCGUAAAGAGGAACGAGAAGUUGAAGCUCUACUAGAUGCCAUAAAGUAUGAACUAAAAUAUUGAAUUUACUAAAAGUUUGUCAAGGCAUUUUAACAUAAAUAUAACAAUUAAAAUGUUUGGAACAGAGAGAUCAUGUAAAGUUGGAUAAUAAUAAUAAUAAUAAUUUUUAUUACAAAAAGUACGUGUAGUGUAAACACUUUGAUAUGGAACUAACAAAUAUUCAACUAGGGUAUAAUAAUGAUCAGUAGAUUCUGAUAAGUAAUAAAUCCAAUGUAUAUCUAAAUUCAGCAUUCAAACGAUUGUCUGUAUCUUUUGGUAGAAGCAGAUAAAAUCUCCAUGUAGUAUAUGUUAAUCAACUCAUACUGUUAAUGGCAUUAGUGUAAGGCAAUUAGAUGAAGGCAGAGUCCACAAUUGUCCACCCAUCUUCCUGUUGGAACAACAACACAUCUUCCCCGAAAACUACAACAGUAAGUUAAUAGUGGCUGACUUUAUUGGGAAUAUUACCUAGAUGCAAUCAUAAAUUGGUUAUUAUUAUAUUUCCCGUUCGUGAUAAAUGUUUAUUAUUCAUGCUAGAAUUGUAUUGGCCGGAAACUUAAAUACAAGUGUGAAUACAUAGACAACACCGUGUCCCUAGUGAGCCUCUACUAGACUAGCUCGUUGAUCAAAGAUGAUUAUGGUUUCCUAACCAUAGACAUGAGUUGUCAUUUGAUAACGGGAUCACAUCAUUAGGAGAAUGAUGUGAUGGAAAAGACCCAACCAUAAGCUUAGGAACAUAUCGUAUCGCUUAGUUAUUUGCUAUAGCUUUCUUCAUGUCAAGUAUAUGUUCCUUAGACCGUGAGAUCAUAUCACUCACGAACACCGGAGGAAUACCUUUAGUGCUAUCAAACAUCACUUCGUAACUGGGUGAUCAUAAAGGUGCUCUAAAGGUAUCUAUGAAGGUGGCUGGUUUGCAUCGAGUAAUAAUUGAAUACCUUUUUUGCGGGUAGGAUAAUUACUGAAUAUACUGCGCGUUUUUUCUGUGUCUAAUACUGCGUGUUAUUCUUUGCUUCUACGUAGAGUCAGGUUCAACAAACUCCAAUCGCCACCAAAGAACUCUUAUCUCUUUCUCUAAUCAGCUCCAUAACUCUAAUCAGCCUCAGUUUGAGCUCUUGGUUCGGUAAAAAAAGAGCUUUAAUGUGAACUGCUACAAGUACGUCGGUGUUGCCACAUUUUUCUCUGGCGACUCUACUAUUCACUUGAAAAUCCUUCAAAUAUUUUCUGCCGCGACUUCGUAAAAAAUUAUUCAAAAUCUUUGGUAUCUCAAAGCGGCUCAAGAUGGCAACGGGGAUGAAACCUGUCGGGUUUUGCCUGUCCAAACCCAUCCCCACGAGAAAAUUUCAAACCCAUCUCCAUCCCCGUCACUGUGCGCGGGUUUAGUUUUUUGCCCGUCCCCUAAACCCAUCGGGGUUUCUAAACCCACGGGGAAAUCAACAUAUUUAAGAAAACAUAGUAGCAAUAAAGAAUAGCAUUUCAGCAGCAAAAAGAGCAUAUUUUAGUAGCAUAACUUGAGAAAAUUUCAGCACAAUACAAUAGUACAUGGUUCGACAGUACAAGGAGCAUAUUUUAGCAGCAUAACUUGAGCAAAAAGAGCAAUAACAACAGCCACAAGGAGCAUUUUUCAUCACAAUACAAUACCCCAUUUCAGCAACAAAGAUAAGCAUAUUUCAGCAACAAGCAGGAGCAUAUUUUGCCGGGUAUUGUCGUGUUUCGGGUUCGGGGAGUACCGAAACGGGUGUAAACCCCCAAAACAUGUCAGGUUAUGUGCUCAGCAACAGCCCUGCAGGGAUGAAAAGACGCCCAUAUCUGUCCCCUAAUAGGGUAAAAGCCCGCGGAGACGCGGGUUUCGGGCCCCCGAUGCCAUCUUGAAACAUGGCACCAGAAAAUCAUUGCAACAUUUUACUCUGGUGACUCCAUCAAAAUCAUUUGAAAACCAUAUCAAUGUUCAAAUAUACACGUGCAACAAAUCCAAGUUUUGCUUCGGUACAACCCCCGCCCCCAAGAAGUUUACAGGAAUCAUAAAUUUACUUAAAGGGGUACUUUUGUACAUUCAGGAUCAACUAAUUCUACCCGCGAAAAAACUAACUCUAAUUCCUAUUGUUCCGAUGGAUCACACAAGAAAUAAGAAUAAUCUAAUUUUUUUGAUUGAACGGGUAACUUCUAAUCUCCACCUUUAUUCUGCUUCAAAAUCUUCAAAUUUUUUAANNNNNNNNNNNNNNNNNNNNNNNNNNNNNNNNNNNNNNNNNNNNNNNNNNNNNNNNNNNNNNNNNNNNNNNNNNNNNNNNNNNNNNNNNNNNNNNNNNNNNNNNNNNNNNNNNNNNNNNNNNNNNNNNNNNNNNNNNNNNNNNNNNNNNNNNNNNNNNNNNNNNNNNNNNNNNNNNNNNNNNNNNNNNNNNNNNNNNNNNNNNNNNNNNNNNNNNNNNNNNNNNNNNNNNNNNNNNNNNNNNNNAUACAACAAAUCUUAAUAAAGAAUAAAACAUGUCACAAUACAAGCAACUUAUCACAUCAACAAGGCUUUUUCAACCAAGAUUUUCCAAAAUAGACUAGUGUGCGGAUAUUUCGGUGAACCCAGAGAAACUUGAAUACCUUCAAAAAAUUGAUAUUUUUAAAUGUAUACAUCCUAGUAAUGCCACUAUUAUGACGUGGCAUAUCUUGGCCUGGUGGUAUGACGCAUAAGAGCAUCUCCAACCACAAUGAGCUAAUUCAAGUCCCCAUACAUCCGCGAACGUGCUUAUUCAGUGAUUGGGCGCGUCCAUUUUGAGCCUCCAUUUGUGUGUGCAUGCAAUAAGUCUCCUACAUCCUCCUCAAAUUGUCCGAUCAAAUGCAGAUGAUUGGUCGGGAUCAAAAGAGAGAGGGAAAAUAAAGAGAAAAAGUGGUCUGGGGUCGGCCGUAUCCUAUGUGGUGGGGCUGUCCGGACAUGCCCGGACAUCCCCAUAUGCUCCCCAUAUUCGUUAUGGAUAUGGUGAUUUGCGGACAGCCCGGGCAAAUGGAGNNNNNNNNNNNNNNNNNNNNNNNNNNNNNNNNNNNNNNNNNNNNNNNNNNNNNNNNNNNNNNNNNNNNNNNNNNNNNNNNNNNNNNNNNNNNNNNNNNNNNNNNNNNNNNNNNNNNNNNNNNNNNNNNNNNNNNNNNNNNNNNNNNNNNNNNNNNNNNNNNNNNNNNNNNNNNNNNNNNNNNUGUAUGUCGUGGAUUUGGAUGGUCUGGUUCUAGAUGCUCUAACCCUCCUCGCUACAGGUCUUGUGAGUCUGACCAAGUUCCAGCUUUUGCAAUCAACUACUUAGUGGUGACCACUUGCAUAUGAAUCAGUUGAUGACUAUCAUGGGUUAAAUAUUACAGAUUUUUAUGCAUUUUUUUGAAUUUAAAUUUUGGGCAAUUUUUUUUCAAAAGAUCCUAGAAUUUUAGGGAAAAAGUUUUUUUUGGCCCAACCCCAAAAACAGGAAUUCUGACUAAAAAAACCUUGCUCACAACAACACAAACAACAUCAAAGAAACAUAUUUUCAACCAUUUGUAGCAUGUGUACGUAAAAAACACCAACACAUUUGUGGCAUGUCAAAAAAUAGUGUGCAACCUAAAAAAUAUCGAUUCAAUGACCUCACGCUGCCAACUUUUUAUGCACCGGCCUUCGCCGAUUUGGUUCCGUGGAGUCACCAAAACAUGAUCUCACAUACAUGUGGAACAGAAGACAAGACCAACGCUACACAUAGGUUGGGUGAAUGUGAUGAAAAACAGUCAGCCUUCAUGCUGUUGAAUCUCCCUAAACUGAUGGUUUAAAGCAUCUAAUUGCAAAGUCGCUACUAGAAACUUUUAGUUUACUUAGACCGGAUUCUUUACCUAGGGAUAAUUGCCUUCGAGGGACAUAAAAGCACCAAAUAGUACAGUCUAGGAAGAUAUGAUCUUGUAGCUAAAAGUUUUGGGAAAUAAGACAUAAAAAAGGUGUGAUAGCUCCCGGGUGCCCCUACACCCUCUAUGCAACAUAAAAUAUUUGUUGGCCGGAAUAAGCCGCGGCGACGUGUCGGGCGCGUCCAGCGCGUGUAUGGGCGCGAGCUGGACGUGUCGGGCGCGUCGGGACCGCGGCGUAGGCGUGCGUGUGGUGCACGGGGUGCCCGUGUAGGUAGACAUCGUGCGUGUGAGUGUAGGCCAGGCCGUUGGCGAGUUUAGGGGGUGCGUUGAGUUGGUCCGCUGUGGGACUCGCCAUGCCCGGACGUGUGCGUGCAUGUCGGGAGGGCGCGGGCAGAGUGGAGCGGACCGGGCGCUCGACGUGGACAGAGUCGUGGGUGCGUGCCCUGGUCGACCCUGGGUAUAAGACCCCUGUGUGUGUGUGCGUUGUAACGGCGUGGCCGGGGCUGAGUUUGUGCUCAGGAAAGAAAAGAAGGCCGUUCGGGCGGCGGUGGCAUACGUGCGCCAGGAAAAUCCAUCGUCUCCGGUUCUUCUUCUUCCUCUGUUUCGUUCCAGCGAGUGCACCGUGAGGGAGAGAGAGAGAGCGGCUGCGCCAACAAUUGGUAUACAAAGCCACAAGGUUCGAGGGGCGGCCGUGGCGCGCGGCGGCGUCCGCGGUGUGCGCUGCGACCACGGCGGACAUGGAGGCCGCGGCGCGCGGAGAGCGCGUGGCGACUGCGACAGGCGACGAGCCUGCGGUGGUGCAGCGUGAUGCCGUGCGCGCGACGAGCAGCGGCGGUCGCGGAGGACCUGUGUGGUGGCGUAGAGNNNNNNNNNNNNNNNNNNNNNNNNNNNNNNNNNNNNNNNNNNNNNNNNNNNNNNNNNNNNNNNNNNNNNNNNNNNNNNNNNNNNNNNNNNNNNNNNNNNNNNNNNNNNNNNNNNNNNNNNNNNNNNNNNNNNNNNNNNNNNNNNNNNNNNNNNNNNNNNNNNNNNNNNNNNNNNNNNNNNNNNNNNNNNNNNNNNNNNNNNNNNNNNNNNNNNNNNNNNNNNNNNNNNNNNNNNNNNNNNNNNNNNNNNNNNNNNNNNNNNNNNNNNNNNNNNNNNNNNNNNNNNNNNNNNNNNNNNNNNNNNNNNNNNNNNNNNNNNNNNNNNNNNNNNNNNNNNNNNNNNNNNNNNNNNNNNNNNNNNNNNNNNNNNNNNNNNNNNNNNNNNNNNNNNNNNNNNNNNNNNNNNNNNNNNNNNNNNNNNNNNNNNNNNNNNNNNNNNNNNNNNNNNNNNNNNNNNNNNNNNNNNNNNNNNNNNNNNNNNNNNNNNNCGGCGCGACGGCCGUGGAGGCGCAGUGGCGCGAGGCACGGAGAUGCGGCACGGCGGCGCACGGAGCCGCGGGUUUCGGCAGCGGCAGCGAGUGGCGCUCGGCGGGGCGCAGCGCGGCGGUACGCGACAGCGGCCGGUGAGGUGGCCGCGUUGCACGGCAUCUGCGGCAGCUCGUGCUGGAAGCACACGGUGGCGUCGGGCGGCAGCAACCAUGGCGACGACGACGUCGGACCGGCACUCCGCUAGGCCGCGGCUUAGGGGGUGAAUGUUGGCCGGAAUAAGCCGCGGCGACGCGUCGGGCGCGUCCAGCACGUGUAUGGGUACGAGCUGGACGUGUCGGGCACGUCGGGACCGCGGCGUAGGCGUGCGCGUGUGCAUGCGUGUGGUGCACGGGGUGCCUGUGUAGGUAGACACCGUGCGUGUGAGUGCAGGCCAGGCCGUUGGCGAGCUUAGGGGGUGCGUUGAGUUGGUCCGCUGUGGGACUCGCCAUGCCCGGACGUGUGCGUGCAUGUCGGGAGGGCGCGGGCAGAGUGGAGCGGACCGGGCGCUCGACGUGGACAGGGUCGUGGGUGCGUGCCCUGGUCGACCCUGGGUAUAAGACCCCCUGUGUGUGUGCGUUGUAACGGCGUGGCCGGGGCUGAGUUUGUGCUCAGGAAAGAAAAGAAGGCCGUUCGGGCGGCGGUGGCAUACGUGCGCCAGGAAAAUCCAUCGUCUCCGGUUCUUCUUCUUCCUCUGUUUCGUUCCAGCGAGUGCACCGUGAGGGAGAGAGAGCGGCUGCGCCAACAAUAUUGUCAAACUGUAGGUUCUUACAAGUUUUUAUAACAAAAUAUCAUGUAAAGAAAGGUGUACACACGAGCUUCAGAUUUCAGUGCUAAAAGUGAUGAAAACUUCAACAACUAAAAUCUUUUUCUUGUGUAGAGCGCUUCGAAUGUUUGUUUGGCAUGAAAACCUGCAUGCAUCUACAAAGUUUGAUCAUAUUUGACGUUGUAAAGUUUCAUAUUUUUUUAGAAUUAGUUUUUAUUUUUUCGAAUUUACUAUUCAUACAGGGUGUAGCGGCACCCCGGAGCUAAAAAACCACUCUCAUAAGGCAUGCCUAUGGUUGGACGAACGUAGAUGCCCUCAAGUCUAGAAAGACAUAGACUGAUGACCCCAUUAUGGCCAAGUAGAUGGUCUCCUGCGCCUUUUAGUCAAGGGAUUUCUAUUUUCAUGCCCCUCUUUGCUUAUCUCCUUAGUUUUGCCCAGGUUUUUUUGGUAGUCCUUACUUUUCCCCUCCACCACUCGGCCCAUCCUUGCAAAAGCCUAAAUGGGGGUUUGCUGUUCAGUCAAAGUCUUUGAUCAUUACUCGGCGUUGUUACUGAUGCGUAGGAGACCUCUGUCAGCAGCUGCCCGCUGGUAGAUGGUGGGCGGAUCACUACCGGGGAAAGCCCUAUAGGUGAACUAUAAAAAGUGGCGGCUAGGACAUGUCACCUGCAACCGCUACUUUUCCAAAAGAGCAGUGACGAGUACCUAGACUUGCCAAUCACAAUUACGGGCAUGCCUGUGGCGGGCGCUGGCUAGCAACCGCCAUAGCUAGGCUCUUCCAAAUAUGCCCGCUAGCUGGAAACUGUAGUAGCUAGCACUGACCUAGUGCCCGCCACUUGCUUGUGUGUAAGCAGUGGCAGGCAUUGCUAGGCGCCCCCACAACUAAAUUUUGGCAAGCGUGCCAAAUAAAUCAAAAUUUGGAAAUGUUUGCUGUGUGGUUCUUUGUGCUUGCCCGCCACUGCUCUCGACGGACCGUUCCCCUUCCACGCCCGCCCAGCAACCAUACACAAAACUUUCAUUUCCAUCGUUUCGCCUUUCUCUCUGCCAUUUCCUCUCCCUUGUCCCCCUCCUCGUCGUCCUGUGGCUCGACCGCCACCACUGUCCCUCCGACCAGCCAACAGUGCCUUCCAUGUGUCAGACGCCAUGAGCGCCACCAGAUCUGCUCGCCUUUGUGUUGCCCGCCUCGAACACCACCACACCGUUCUGCGCCUUGAACGCGCGCUUCCCCGGUCCUCCGCCUCAACUGCCACCGCCGUCCUUUACCUCGACUGCCACCCUCGACCGUCGCCUCGACCGCCGCCGCCAUCCUGCGCCUCGACCGCCCUCAUGACCACGACCGGAAAAGCGGCCAACAGUAUACUACAUCUCCAUGACUAACUCUAGGUUUUAGAAUUUGCAUCUUAUUAAUUUGUAGAUUAACUAGUUGUACAUCAUAUAAGAGAGCGAGCAGCAUAUCGGCAGGGGCAGUACUAUAUAAUUGAAAUAGAUCUUUUUCGUAUCGGCAGGUAUCCAAAUAUUUGGAACAUUGCUAAAUAUGACAAGUGGCAAUGAUGUUUGGAUUUUCUUAUAUAUGAGAAGUGCAUGGGCUUCAUGUUAUUCACAGGGAUUUGAAGAAGAAUGACAAAGUUUUUGCAAAACGUUGAUUCAUUUCCGUUUCGCCAAAUUUUUGUCAUUCCAUACGUCAACUUUGUAAGCGAAGUUCAUGCCGAAUUUCAUUUGCUAUGACAAUAUUGUUUAAUUUGCUUACAUAUGACAAUUGCAUGGGUUUAGCACGAACAUUGCUAAAUAUGACAAGUGGCAAUGAUGUUUGAAUUUCCUACAUAUGAGAAGUGCAUGGGCUUCAUGUUAUUCACAAGGAUUUGAAAAAGAGUGACAAUGUUUUUGCCAAACGUUGAUUCAUUUCCGUUUCGCCAAAUUUCUGUCACUCCAUACAUAAACUUUGUAAGAAAAGUUCAUGCCGAUUAUCAUUGUCUAUGACAAUAUUGUUUAGCUUUGUAAGCAAAGUUCGUGCCGAAUUUACAAAUGACAAGUGCAUGGCUUUUUAAAAUGAGUGCCAAUGUUUUGAUGAAAAGUUGACUAACUUCUGUUUCAUCAAAUUUCUGGUAGUCAAAAUAUGUUCAAUAUUUAGCAAAGGUCAUGCCAAAUUAUCUCUAUCCCUUCUUAGUUACUUCCUCCUCUCAAAAUUACAAUUAAUAAGUGCUUCACAAUGAUUAUUAGGGAUCAUGAGGCGUAAGAUCUACCAUAUCUAAAAAUGUCCAUGUAUGGAUAGUUGAUACGUCCAUUUUGCAUCAUGUUUACCUAAUAUUAUUUAUAAUGUUUUUAUGUAUAAUAAUGCUUUUUGGAGUAAUUAUAAUGCCUUUUCUCUCAUAAUGUGCAAGGUUCACACUGAGAGGGAGAAUACCGAUAGCUGGAAUUCUAGACCAGAAAAAGCUACGCCAGGCCACCUAUUCUGCACAACUCCAAAUGAGCUGAAACUUCACAAAUAUUUUUUAUGGAAUAUAUAAGAAUUAUUGGAGCAAAUAACUACCAGAGGGACCCACCAGGUGGGCACAACCCACCUGGGUGCGCCAGGGAGCCCAUGUGCGCCCUGGUGCGUUGUGCCCUCCUCGGCCCACCUCCGGUGCCCCUCUUCUGGUAUAUAAGUCAUUUUGACCUAGAAAAAAAAUAAGGAGAGGACUUUUGGUAGGAAGCGCUGCUGUCUCGAGGCGAAACUUGGGCAGGAGCUCUUUUGCCCUCCGGGGGAGCGAUUCCGCCGUGGGGACUUCCCUCCCGGAGGGGGAAAUCAUUGUGAUCAUCAUCACCAACAACUCUCCCAUCUUGGGGAGGGUAAUCUCCAUCAGCAUCUUCAACAACACCAUCUCCUCUCAAACCCUAAUUCAUCUCUUGUGUUCAAUCUUUGUACCGGAACCUUAGAUUGGUGGUUGUGGGUGACUAGUAGUGUUGAUUACAUCUUAUUGUUGAUUACUAUAUGGUUUAUUUGGUGGAGGAUUAUAUGUUCAGAUCCAUUAUGCUAUUUAAUACCCCUCUGAUCUUGAGCAUGAUUAUCAUUUGUGAGUAGUUACUUUUGUUCCCGAGGUCACGGGAGAAAUCUUGUUGCAAGUAAUCAUGUGAACUUCAUAUGUGUUCGAUAUUUUGAUGGUAUGUAUGUUGUGAUUCCCUUAGUGGUGUCAUGUGAACGUCGACUACAUGGCACUUGACCUUAUUAGGGCCUAAGGGAAUGCAUUGUGGAUUAGUUAUUAGAUGAUGGGUUGCGAGAGUGACAGAAGUUUAAACCCUAGUUUAUGCGCUACUUCGUAAGGGACUGAUUUGGAUCCAAAAUUUUAAUGCUAUGGUUAGAUUUAUUCUUAAUACUUUUCUCGUAGUUGCAGAUGCUUGUGAGGGGGUUAAUCAUAAGUAGGAGGUUUGUUCAAGUAAGAACAACACCUAAGCACCUGUCCACCCAUAUAUCAAAUUAUCAAAGUAGCGAUCACGAAUCAAACUAUGUGAUGAUAUUGGAUCUUGGAAUUGGAAUCGAUUGAAAUUGGAAUUUCACCAAAAAGUUUAUCCUAUGCAUCUUGUUCAUCAUGAUCAGAAUUACAUAUAUAAUUUUUGGCCUCGUGAAGGAGAAAGUAUUGCUCUAGCUUGGGGGAGGCUUAAGUCAAUGUUAUAUUCAUGCCCCAAUCAUGAGCUCUCAAGAGAAAUUAUUAUUCAGAAUUUUAAUGCUCGGCUUUCUCGUGAUGAUCAAUCCAUGCUCGAUACUUCUUGUACUGGUUCCUUUAUGAAGAAGACUAUUGAAUUCAGGUGGUAUCUUUUAGGAAGAAUUAAACGCAACUCUAAAGAUUAGGAAUUCGACGAAGGUAAAGAGUCAAGUAUUAAGCUUAAGUAUGAUUGUGUUAAAUCUUUUAUGAAUGCCGAUGCUUUUCAAAAGUUUAGCACUAAAUAUGGACUUGACUCUGAGAUAGUAGCCUCCUUUUGUGAAUCAUUUGCUACUCAUGUUGAUCUCCCUAAGGAGAAGUGGUCUAAAUAUAACCCACCUAUUAAAGAAUAAAUUAAAGAACCGGUAAUAGCUAAAAAUGAAAGUAUUAUUUAUAAUGUUGACUCAGUUGUUCCUACUGCUUAUAUUGAAAAACCACCUUUCCCUGUUAGGAUAAAGGAACAUGCUAAAGUUUCAACUAUGGUCAAUAAAAGUUAUGUAAGAGCACCUAAACCUGCUGAACAAAUCAAGGUAGAACCUAGUGUUGCUUUUGUUAAAGAUCUCUUGAAAGGAAAUAUUGAUGGGCAUGUUAUUUAUUUCUGUGGUGAAGCUGCUAGAAUUGCCAAACCCGAUGAAAAAGAUAAACAUAGACCUAUUGUUGGCAUGCCUAUUGUCCCAGUCAAAAUAGUUGAUCACUGUUAUCAUGGUUUAUGUGAUUUGGGUGUUAGUGUGAGUGCUAUUCCUUUUACCUUAUAUCAAGAAAUUAUGAAUGAUAUAGCACCCGCUGAAAUAGAAGAUAUAGAUGUUACUAUUAAACUUGCUAAUAGAGACACCAUCACACCACUUGGGAUUGUUAGAGAUGUUGAAGUCUUGUGUCGGAAAAUAAAAUAUCCUACUGAUUUUCUUGUUCUUGGUUCCUGAUACGUCUCCAACGUAUCUAUAAUUUUUGAUUGUUCCAUGCUGUUUUAUUAUCAAUCUUGGAUGUUUUAUAAUAAUUUUAUAGUCACUUUGUAUCAUUUUUUGGUACUAACCUAUUGACAUAAUGCCAAAUGCCAGUUGUUGUUUUUCCAUAUUUUUUACAUCACAGGAAAUCAAUAUCAGACGGAGUCCAAAUUCCACGAAACUUUAUGGAGAUUUUUUAUGGACCAAAAGGAAGAUGUUGGGCCCUGGUUGCACCUAGGGGGAGUCCCGAGGAGGGGACAACCCACCAGGGUGCGCCAGGAGGCCCAGGCGCGCCCUGGUGGGUUGUGCCCACCUCGGGUGCCCCCCGGACCGCCUCUUUGCUCUAUAAAUACCCCAAAAAUACCAGAACCCUACGGGAGUCGACAAAAUAUUCAUCCAGCCGCCGCAGAGUCCAGAACCACCAGAUCCAAUCUAGACACCAUCUCCAUUGGUGCCUCUCCGAUGAUGCGUGAGUAGUUCUUUGUAGACCUUCGGGUCCGUAGUUAGUAGCUAGAUGGCUUCCUCUCUCUCUCUCUAAAUUCUCAAAACAAUUGUCUCUUGGAGAUCCAUAUGAUGUAACUCUUUUUGCGGUGUGUUUGUUGGGAUCUGAUGAACUUUGAGUUUAUGAUCAGUCAUAUAUUUUUAUAUCCAUGAAAGUUAUUUGAGUUUCUUUGAUCUCUUAUAUGCAUGAUCUCUUAUAGCCUCGUAUUUCUUCUCCGAUAUUUGGGUUUUGUUUGGACAACUUGAUCUAUUUAUUUUGCAAUGGGAAGAGGUAGUGGGUCCGAUCUUACGGUGCUUGAUCCCAGUGAAAGAAAGGGAAACGACAUGUAUGUAUCGUUGCUACUAAGAAUAAAACGAUGGGGUCUAUCUCUACAUAGAUAGAUCUUGUCUACAUCAUGUCAUCGUUCUUAUUGCAUUACUCCGUUUCUCCAUGAACUUAAUACACUAGAUGCAUGCUGGAUAGCGGUCGAUGUGGGGAGUAAUAGUAGUAGAUGCAGACAUGAGUCGGUCUACUAAUCUUGGAUGUGAUGCCUAUGUAAUGAUCAUUGCCUGGAUAUCGUCAUAAUUAUUUGAGGUUCUAUCAAUUACCCAACAGUAAUUUGUUUACCCAUCGUUUGCUAUCUUUCUUGAGAGAAGCCACUAGUGAAAUCUACGGCCCUCGGGUCUUCUUUCUCAUAUAUUUGCUUUGCGAUCUAUUUUAUUUGCUCUUUUUAUUCAGAUCUAUUAAACCAAAAAUACAAAAAUACUUUGCUGCACUUUAUUUUAUUUGUGAUCUGUUUAUUCAAUCUAUCACAAUUUUCUCCCGUCUCCUUGCCAAUUUCUGGCACCGUUACCCGAAAGGGAUUGACAACCCGUUUAACAUGUCGGGUUGCGAGUGGCUGUUAUUUGUGUGCAGGGGCUAUUUACGUUGUGUUGCUUGAUUCUCCUACUGGUUCGAUAACCUUGGUUUCAUAUCUGAGGGAAAUACCUACCGCCGCUGUGCUGCAUCAUCCCUUCCUCUUUGGGGAAAUACCGACCUAGCGUCAAGCGACAUCAAAAGGAAUUUUUGGCGCCGUUGCUGGGGAGGAUCUUCAACAUAUACCAGGUUCCUAAUCACAUAUCUCAUCUCCUCGCAAUUUACAUUAUUUGCCAUUUUCCUCUCGUUUUCCUCUCCCCCACUUCACAAAAAUUUGCCGUUUUAUUCACCUCUCCUUUUCGUCGAUCUCUUGUCUUUAGUCUCGAUGGCCAGCGUCACUACUCCUCCUUUGUCACCAGAUUUUGAAGUUCUUUACUUCAAGGAAAGACAAGGAGAAAAUCUGAAAGAUGCCAGGUAUAGGCUUAUGGAAUCGUAUCCUGUUUCCAAUCUAAAUGGGGAUGCUAAGGUUUUGCUUCGUCACUUUUACAUAUGAUUGGCUUUGCAUCAUAGACAACUUUUGGAUUUUGCCGCUAAAGGAAAUUUUAUUGAGCUUGAUGCUAAUGCUGCCUAUGAAAUUUUAGAGGGAAUUUUGGGAAUUCCUCCUCAAAAGAAGGGGUUUUCUUUUACCCCUGAGGGAGUUCAGAUGUUGGACAAACUUGGUGAUUUGCAUAAACAUAUGGUUGAAAUACAGAAAUAUAAUGAACCCCUCAAACACUUAAUGGUAGUAUUAAUCGUAUGAAUACCUUGAUUACUCUUUGCAACAAGCGUUUGGAUAUUUUGGAUCUAAAGAUGGUUUCUUUUCUUGAGAAUUUAGGGAAGCGUAAAGAGUCUCCCGGGUUCGAGAAAACCCUUACAAAAUUUACCAAAACUUCGGAACACAAAACUUAGAUCCUUGCUUUAUGCCUAGCUAAGGGCGUAAAACUAUAGCGCUUGUUGGGAGGCAACCCAAUGAAUAAAAUUUAUUUUUGCUUUUUGCUUUCUCUUCUUGUGUGUUUGCACAAUUAUGCUACUGGUAUGAUUGUUUUUGUGUGUGUUUUAAUUAGUGUUUGUGCCAAGUAAAGCCUAUAGGAUCUUCUUGGGUGAUAGUUGUUUGAUCUUGCUGAAAAACAGAAACUUAUGUAGUCACGAAAACAAUUGUUAAAAAUCACCAGAACGUGAUAAAAUGCCAACUCUUUUUGCAGAAGAUUAAUAUACAAAUUACCCUGGUCAUCCUAUUUUUCAGAAUCUUUGGAGUUACAGAAGUAUUCGAAAUAGUCAGAUUGCUACAGACUAUUUUGUUUUGACAGAUUCUGUUUUCUUUGUGUUGUGUGCUUAUUUUGAUGGCUCUAUGGUUUUCUUUGAUGAGUUUUUGCCAUAGAAAAGUUGGAAUACAGUAGAUAUAAUACAAAAAAUAAAAUGUUUGGCACAAAAUAUUUGAAUGAUGGGCAUGAUUGCAAUGUUGUUAGUAUGAAUUCUUUGAAUAUCCAAAAUGCUAAUGAUGAUUGCACAAGUCAUGAGAAAAAUGUUUCUUAUAAGCAUGUCAAUUUUUGUGGAGUGCAUAAAUUUUGUGAAGACGUGCUUUAUAGGGAAGAUAGAUUUUGCAAGAAGCAUAAACAUGAUAGAACCAAUUGUUUGCUCAAAGUGAUAGAUGAAUUUGCUACAAAAUUAUGUUUUCUUUGUCCUAUUACUUGUGAACUUUGCAAUAAGGUUGGUCAUCUAAAUUUCCAAUGCAUGUUUUUUCAUGAUCAAAUCGUGUCCAAAUAUUGCAAUAACUUGAUCACCCUAGAACUUUAUAAUGAACUUUGUUUAUUCUUGGGGAGUGAAGAAUUGACAUAUAAAAAUAGUUGGUUUGAAGUAUUCGUUCUCACGGACGACAUUGAAACUAAACUAAAGAAUAUCUAUAUGUUUUGCAUGGUAAAUUGCAACGAGAAUCCUUAUAUUGCCAACUAUAGAAAGAUUCAGACAUGGUGGCAACAAACCGAUCUAGCAAACGAGCAAACAAAAAGGCGAAUGGAAGAAGGGCGAAUAAAAGGGCAAAUCUUUUCGAAAAUCAUUUUAGAAGUGGGGGAGAGGAAAACGAGAGGCAAAUGGCGAAUAAUGUAAUGAAAGAGAUGAGAUUUUAUGAUGGGUACUUGGUAGGCUUGGCAUAGAUCUCCCCGGCAAUGGCACCAGAAAUUCUUCCUGCUACUUCUUGAGCUUGCGUUGGUUUCUCCAUUGAAGAGGAAAGGGUGAUGCAGCACAGUAGAGAUAAGUAUUUCCCUCAGUUAAGAACCAAGGUAUCAAUACAAUAGGAGAAACGCGCAAGUCCCCAAUUGAUGCACCUGCACGACCAAUCAAACACUUGCACCCAACGCGAUAAAGGGGUUGUCAAUCCCUUCAUGGUCACUUGCAAAGGUGAGAUCUGAUAGAGAUAGAUAGAACUAAACAAAAGAUAAAAUAUUUUUGGGUUUUUUGAUUUAUAGAUCUGAAACUAAAAGAUUGCAAAAUAGUAGACCUGAAACUAAUAUGAUGGAAAUUAGACCCGGGGGCCAUAGGUUUCACUAGAGGCUUCUCUCUUGAAGGCAAAUAAUACGGUGGGUGAACAAAUUACUGUCGAGCAAUUGAUAGAAAAGCGCAAAGUUAUGACAAUAUCCAAGGCAAUGAUUAUGCAUAUAGGCAUCACAUCCGUGUCAAGUAGAUCGACUCCUGCUUGCAUCUACUACUAUUACUGCACACAUCGACCGCUAUCCAGCAUGCAUCUAUAGUAUUAAGUUUAUAAAGAAGAGAGUAACGCCUUAAGUAAGAUGACAUGAUGUAGAGAAAUAAACUCAAGCAAUUUGAUGAAACCCCUAUCUUUUUAUCCAUGAUGUCAACAAUUCAAUAUGUGUCUCGCUACCCCUACUUUGUCACUGGGUGAAAUCACGCAAGAUUGAACCUAAAGCUAAGCACCUCUCCCAUUGCAAGAAAAACCAAUCUAGUUGACCAAACCAAACCAAUAAUUCAAAGAGAAAUACAAAGAUAUCAAAUCAUGCAUAUAAGAAUUCAGAGAAGAUUCAAAUAAUAUUCAUAGAUAAGUUGAUCAUAAAUCCACAAUUCAUCGGAUCUCGACAAACACACCGCAAAACAAGAUUACAUCAGAUAUAUCUCCAAGAACAUCGAGGAGAACAUGGUAUUGAAAAUCAAAGAGAGAGAAGAAGCCAUCUAGCUACUAGCUAUGGACCCGUAGGUGUGUGGUAAACUACUCACGCUUCAUCGGAAGGGCAAUAGAGUUGACGUAGAUGCCCUCUGUGACCGAAUCCCCCUCCGGCAGGAUGCCGGAAAAGGCCCCAAGAUGGGAUCUCACGGGAACAGAAGGUUGCGGCAGUGGAAAAGUGUUUUCGUGGCUCCCCCUGACGGUUUUGGAAUAUAUGUGAAUAUAUAGGACGAAGGGCUAGGUCAGAGGAGUCCCGAGGGGGCCACAAGGUAGGGGUGCGCCCUCCGCCCUUGCCGCCGCCUCGUGGCUCUUCUGGCUUGGACUCCAAGUCCCCUGGGUGUCUUUUGGUCGAAGAAAAAUCAUCAUGAAGUUUUAUUCCAUUUGGACUCCGUUUGGUAUUCCUUUUCUGCGAAGCUCAAAAACAAGGAAAAAACAUUAACUGGCACUUGGCUCUCGGUUAAUAACUUAGUCCCAAAAAUAAUAUAAAAUAGCAUAUUAAUGCAUAUAAAACAUCCAAAACAGAUAAUAUAAUAGCAUGGAACAAUAAAAAAUUAUAGAUACGUUGAAGACGUAUCAAGCCCCUAAACCUUUUAGUGUCGGUUGGUGUAACCAACCGGGACUAAAGGCCCCCAGCCCCCCAGCGUGGGCUCGUGCCACGUGGUGGGCCUUUGGUCCUGGGUCAUGACGAACCGGCACUAAAGGGGGGGGGGCUUUAGUCCUCACCCUUUAGUGCCGGUUGCUGAACCGGGACUAAAGGUCCUUACGAUCCGGGACUAAAGCCCGAUUCUGCACUAGUGCAUGUCUACAUACAUUCGUAUCAAGACAAAAAUAAGAGCAUCUCUAGCAGACCCCGUAUAUCGCGACCCGCAAAGCUCGUUUACAGUUCUCAGAAAAGCGGUUUUGCGGGCCGGCGCCCGCGUCGGCCCGCAUAUCAUAUGCAGUUUUAUCUGAAUUUGACACAUAUGGCACAUAUUCAGAAUUACUAAUUUAAUAUAAGAAAAAAAUUCAAUAUUACAAUACAACAAUAAUCCAAAUUACAAUAAUUAUUCAAAUCACCGAAGCAAACUAAAUAAUUCAAUACAAAACUUGUCCCGAAUACAAAUCACACAUGAAUUAAAUGAAAAUGAAUAGAAAAAUGGAAUGUGUUACUGCCAAGUCCUUUGCCAGUGGUGCUCAAUGAGAUCCUCCUGAAGCUGAAAGUAGGUGUUUGCAUUUUCAAUUUCCCUGUAGGUCUGGAGAAAAUCUCUAAUGCGGUUCGGAUUUCUAGCUGGUUUGGCAUGGCUACCCACAUUGUCGUAGAAGAACUCCAAGUUCAUGCCUCUCUCAUCUCCUAGAAUCAUAUUGUGAAGAAUAACACAACAUGUCAUGAUGUUUUUCAAGGAUCGAUUGUCCCAAAAAUGAGCAGGACCACGAAGAAUGGCAGACCUAGAUUGCAAAACCCCGAAUGCUCUUUCAAUGUCUUUUCGGGCUGCCUCUUGUGCCCUUGCGAAUUCACAAUGUUUCCUAGUUUGGGGGUCAUUGAUGCUCUUGACAAAUGUGCACCAAGGAGGGUAUAUACCAUCUGCAAGAUAGUACCCCUUUGUGUAUUCAUGCCCAUUGAUAGUAUAGUUGCAAGCAGGAGCAUCACCACUAGCAAGCCUAGCAAACAAAUGAGACCGUUGCAACACAUUGAUAUCAUUGAGAGUACCCUGCAUACCAAAAAAGCAAUGCCAAAUCCAUAAAUCCUCGGAUGCUAUGACCUCUAACACAAUUGUUGGAUCACGAGACUUGCCACAAUACAUUCCCUGCCAUGCCUUCGGGCAAUUUUUCCAUGUCCAAUGCAUACAAUCAAUGCUUCCUAGCAUGCCAUGCCAACCUCUGCUCUCAUAGGUGCCAUCAAUUUUUGUUUGUCUUCCUCGUUGGGUGCCCGGAGAUAUUCAGGACAAAAGACACGGAUGAUCACUUUGGCAAACCUACGCACUGACUCAAUUGUAGUAUCUUCACCAAUGCGAAGGUACUCAUCGGCAUAGUCAGCCGGAAUGCCAUAUGCAAUUACUCGCAUAGCUGCCGAGAUUUUUUGAUAUGCACUAAAUCCCUUCAAGCCCGCGAGAUUUAUUCUUUGAGUAAAAUAACGACAAUUGGACUCACAAGUUUGAACUAUUUUUACAAAGAGGAACCGGCGCAUUCGGUACCUUCUCCAGAAGAGGUGUGGCAGAUAUGUUGGAUUGUCCACGAAGUAGUCUUGCAUCAACAUCUCGUUACUGAGAUGGCGAUUUCAAGGAAUGCAAAGACGGCCGACGGUCGAUCCUCGCCGUCUCUUUCGGUUCUCAUCUUCGUGCUCCUUCACGGCGAGGGCCAUCACCAACAUCUGCUUGCGAUAGUUGACAAGCUGCAUCUCAACAUCCGAGUCGUCCGAAUCGGAUGAAUCCUCGAUCAAAAACUUCUCGCAUGGACUCAAUUCCAUCUAAAUUCACAAAGACGCAAGCCGUGUUAACCAACUAUGCAUAAGCACAAGCACAAGUAAAAGUACUCAUCGACAGCUCGGGGCGGUGGCUCUGCGGCGGUGGAUCUCGGGGCGGUGACGGUGACUAGGGGAGGCUCGGGGCGGUGGAUCCUGGGGCGGCGACGGCGACUAGGGGCGGCUCGGAUUGGCGGAUCCGGGGAGCCGGUGAAGCGGCUAGGUGUAAGAGGGGAGGGGCGCCCCGCGGCGCGAUUCUGCCCGCCGAUUUGGCCGGAAUCGCCGGUGGCUGACGGGCGGCGGCGGAAGGGGGUGGGGAAAGGACGCGGGUUGAAAUGUGCCUCCCGCCAACCGCUUUCCUGGAAUACAGGGCACCGUCGGGGCGAGGGAGAAACCUGCGUUUUCGCGGGUUGGGGAUGAGAUUUUACGGCGCCCCUAAAAAUUUUUUACGGGUCGGACGCGUUUGCGGUGUCUGGUCGGGCAGCAUUUUACGCGCGGACCCGUAUUUUGGUGGUUAUUUUACGGGUCGGGGCAUUAUAUAGGGUCUACUAAAGAGCAUCUCUAGCAGACCCGACAUAACGCCCCGACCCGCAAAAUAACCCCCAAAAUGCGGGUCGGCGCGGAAAAUCCUGCCCGAACAGACCCCGCAAACGCGGCCGGCCCGUAAAUUUUUUUAGGGGUGUGGCAAAAUCUUGACCCCAACCCGCGAAUACGUGGGUCCUCCCCCCCGACCCGUCGGUGCCCUGCAUAUAGCGGGAGCGGUUGGUGGGGAGGACAUUUCAGCCUGCGCUUUUCCCCCACCUACCACCUCCCCGCUCCCCCUCACCCCGCCGCCCAUGAUUCCGGCGAAAGUAGCCGGCGAGAUCAUGCUGAAGGCCGCCACACGUACGAGGUUGCCCUCCGCCAACCCUUCCUGCGUCGGUGGGCCGGAAAGUUGCAUAUCUGCGCCCCAUCGUCGUGGGCGGCCCGGAUUUGGCUUUUCCUGCCGCCGGUGGCCACGCCAAGCGAUGGAAUGGUCGGGGAGCACCUCGCGCAGCCCCGGCAAAGUCCCAUCGCCACAUGCAGGUACGGGUUCGUCCUGUCGCCGCCGCCGACGGUUUGGCUGCAUGGAUUCAGCCGGCUGUCCGCCGAGCUCGGCGCUCGUGCAGCGGCUCUGCGGCUCGCCAAUGCCGCUCAUACAGUGCGACGACUGCACGCGGUGCACGCGGACAGUGCUGCGGCUAACUUUGGGCACGCCGAAGCACCUCGUAUGGGUGUUGUUCAAAUGCGAAAACAACGGGGUACGUGUUCUUUUCAUUCGGCUUUGGCACCGUAUUCUUUGCUUCAAUUGGAUAGCUCAUUUCGAACAUCAUCAUGUGUGUAGGAAGAUUGAUGCUCAUUUUGGUUUUGGGAAGGCGAAUAUAUUGACUUAUUGAUAGAAAGAAACUUAAUAGACGUUCGUGCAAUCCUUAGUACAGUCGAAGGUAAUGAAGCGGUUGCAUGUGCAACUAGAGGGGAAGCAACGUCUACUUCUUUAGAACCAAAGAAGAAGAAUGAAGAAUGCGAGAUCAAGAAUCUGCAAAUCAACAAUGAGUGCAUGGAGAAGAUAUUGCUUCAACUAGUGGGAGCAGUUAUGAAAGUUGGAAAUCUUCUAAAAUGCAUAAUUGUGGCUCUUGUUUUCUUUGGUCUUGCUAUUCUAGCAAAGAUUUGGAGAUAUCUAUGUAUCCAAUGUUGUUGAAAAAGCAAAAAAAAAA